UUCAUCUUGAUAAUCAUGAAUGGAUGUGGCAACGAAAUUUUAUUUCCUUUUUUUAAAUUAAUGGGAAAAGUAACUGGAAGUUUGGAUUUGAUAUGAGAAGGAGAAGUGAUGAACCACAUUAUCCGUGAUAUUCAGAAUGGAGAAGAAUGGCAUCUCUCUUUUCUUUUUCGAUUUUUUUUUUUUUUUUUGUAUCUCAUAGUGAUUUGGUGAUCCUUUUUGGCUACAACUGGUGCUUCUGCAUUGGGAAUAAUCAAUGAGAAGAACACCUGUGUUGUAAUUUCACAUUGUCUGAACUGUGGGUGAUGGUUUGAUUUUUAAUUAAUCAGAGUUGAGCAUGCCUUAUAAAGCUAAGGCGAGGAUGAAAUUGCAUGGAUGCUUAAAGUUGUUUCCUUUAAGGUGGGAGAAUUUUGACAGUUAUAGUGGCAAAAUCCCAUCUUAUUUUUUACAUAAUUGUGGAGUCUGCUUUGGAUGGAAUUUAAAUUAGAUAACUUGGGAGUUCAGUUUGGAAGGGAUUUAAAUUGGAUGUCUUAGGGAAUAUCUUGGAUUGUUAUAUUGUUUUAGUGAAAAAUAAUACUAUGAGCUUAAGAAGCAGAACUUAACAGUUAACUGUUUAAAGUAAAGUGAUGUCAUAUGUUAUCACUUUCAAGAUUUUGAGUGUCAGAUCAUUAACUUCUGGUGAGUAGUAUGCAUUCAUUAUUCAUUCAAAAGCAGAUUCCAUUAAAGUGGAAAGGAUAUUAGGAGGCAUGUUGAUGCAAUUUACGUGGUGUGCAUGAAAAAUAUUUGUCGGCUUGUGAUCAUGGUGGUGCAUACAGUUAGUGGGACAGAAUGUUGCUUUCUUUGCACAUCAAAUUAGCGGUUACAAUUUCAAAGGUUGUUAUGCUGCAUCUUGCUCAUUGUUUACAUUAAUUUUGCAAUCAUCUAGCAGUAUCAUAUAACUGCUUGAAGGUGUCAAAGACUCUAUACUUAUCUUGGAAUUAAAAAGAAAGGUAUUAUACAAUAGUGCUGCACAUGUAUUUGUUGAUGGGAAUGGGAACUAUUUUGUUAGAGAUGAUUGUGCUUUAUACUUCAUGGCAGGUUUUCUUUUUCAUCACCAAUCAGUUUCUAUGUAACAGUGUUGUUCCUAUAGGAAUUUUUUUUCUAAGAAUGAGAAUUUCUAUUAGAGCAGAAAGCAAAUUUAAGAAGCCAAAAGUCACAAAGAAAUUAAAGAAUCCACUUAGAGGGAUAAAAGAGGCCCAAAGCAAUAGUCUCUCUUAACUGGUGGAUUCACUUCAGAUGAGUUUUCUAUAAUUUUCUGGAGCAGCAGCAGGAUAAUGAAGGGCAUUGACCCUAAACCCUAAACCUAAUAUUUUGUUGUUUUUACUUUUCAGGUACUUCAUUGUUUGAGGACAAUGGGAUGCACAGCUGAAGAUCCAAUGGCUGGUGGAAAAGAAAACGAAAUAGAGAUAAAAAUAAAGACAUUGGAUUCCCAAACUUACACAAUGCGUGUAAAUAAGCAGGUACCUAGCUUUGUACUUUUUAAUUAUGUUACUUGCUACAAUCACUUCAUGUUUUAUUUUUUCUUGGGGCUGUUACAAUAUAAAAGUUUAUUCUUUUCUUAGUUGGUUGUCAAUUUGUCAUCUUUUUAAGGGCACUCUUAGAUUCUUUAUACUCAAUAUUUCCUUCAUCGUCUUUUAAACUUUAAAUUGCAGUUUUGCAUAUUUGUAUGGUUACAUUUCUGUCAGCUUUCAGUAGCUUAAAAAUGCUGUCUUACUGAAAGUAGUAUAAGUUUGUCGCUGAAAGAAGUUACAGCCUACAAGUAUAUAUGACAGCCUUUUUUGACAUCCAGUCAAUAGCUUCUUUGCCAUGAUAGAUUCAUAUCUUAGGAUUGUAUAGCCUGUGUGUACAUGUUUGCUGGUAGUAACUUGCAUAUCAGAGUUUUUCAUGUAUGAGUGCAUAUUUGGUUUUACCAUUGUUCUUGAUGUCUUGCAGGUACCAGUGCCUGAUUUAAAACAACAGAUUGCUACAGUUACAGGUGUCUUAUCAGACCAACAACGUCUCAUAUGCCGCGGAAAAGUUCUAAAGGAUGAUCAACGCCUCUGCGCCUAUCGUAUCCUUUUUGUUAAUUUCUCUUGCUCUUUCUUUUUCUUUUUGCUGUGUCUCUGUUCUCAUUCUCUUCCUGGUAAUUACUAUCAACUUCCACUUUAUGGUUUCCAAAUGAUUGUUGUGGUACUCAUAAUUUUGAAACAAAUGAAUUUUAUACACUUACUAUAUUUGAAUUUGCUGGUUAUUGCCAUUUUCAGGCUAUGAGCACAAGAGUUAAAAAUAAAUAAAUAAUAAAAAUAAAGACCAUUAUUUUAAAAAGCUGGAAAGCAAUAAUAUCUGCAAUUUGUGAGUACAAAAGCAUAAGAAAACCUUUGUCUUCCACUCCUCAUUAAUGUCAUCUUAUUUCUGCACCUUUUGACAUAUAUACACGCCCAUGGUAACUUUUGUGUAUUUGCACCUUCUGGUGUUUUUUGGUUGCUUUGUAUAUGUUGUAUAUACUUUUUAAAAUCUCUUUUUGAUGAGUAAAGACUUAAUAUCAUGUGUACUUUUUAAAAUUAAUACAAUCUUCUUUUACGUAUCAAAAAAAAAAAAAAAAGGUACUAUAUCACAUUAAAACAUUGCCUCUCUAUAUGCAUUUUUUAUUUCUCAAUGCAAAGCAAAGAAUAUUUCACUUCAAUGUUCUUUAGCUUAUGAAUCUGUCUUUGUGUGUUUAUUUGGAUGAGUAAAGACUUAAUAUCAUGUGUACUUUUUAAAAUUAAUACAAUCUUCUUUUACGUAUCAAAAAAAAAAAAAAAGGUACCAUAAUCACAUUAAAACAUUGCCUCUCUAUAUGCAUUUUUUAUUUCUCAAUGCAAAGCAAAGAAUAUUUCACUUCAAUGUUCUUUAGCUUAUGAAUCUGUCUUUGUGUGUUUGUUUGGCUCCAUGUUUACUAAUUUUUAUGUUAAACAUUGUAAUGAUAAAAUACAUGACAUUUUACCUCCACGUGAAUUACAUUAUAUAUUCCAUUAUGCCGCCAAUCCACAUAACACUUUUCCACAAUGUUGUUAACUGAAAUUCCAAUUUUAGCCCCAAGAAUUAUUUUUUACCUCCAAUCUCUCUUGUGAUCUUGCUAGCUUGGAUGUGAAGUUGCAAAUGCAAUUUGGUUUAAAGGGGAGGGAGGAAGAAUAGAAGAAAUAUCCAAAAUAUGCCUCGACUUGAUGAGAAGAAAUUUGGGGGAUAUGGUCUUUGCUGUAAAGACGUCUUUCCAUGUAGUUAGAUUUGCUCUACCAGUAACCUUAAUGCUGCUUACAAUAGUUCAACAACACAUGCAGGAUUCCAGAAUGUUUCCAUGGCUGGAUAUAUGUAUAUAUAUAUAUAUAUAUUCCUUUUUUUUUGUAUUGAAAUAUUCAAAUCUAUGGGUGGUUCACUCAACUGUCUUUGAUAUUAGUCAGACUAAGGGACAUGUAUACCUCUGAAGAGGAGCUAUAUUCAUGUUGGAGAAGGUGUAAGUAUUAGCACCUGCAUGCCCUGGCUUUGUUGUUUGAGAGUUUUCAGGUUAGUGUGUCUGUAGUGUGCUGUGUGUUGCAACUGAGGCUAAUGCUGAACUGUGACUGCAAAUAAGUCAUCUUAAUCCUCUGAUUACCUGCAAAAACACGCCGUUUGGGACACUGACGUAACUUGAGACCGUUUUAGAGAAGGGAAAGAGAGGAGAAGAUUUUGGGACCUGAUGGCUAGGAUCUCUAUAGAAAACUUACCUCUUUUAGCUGAUGGUUGUACCUUUUAUACUCUACACUGAACCUAGUUCCUCUGGGGCUAGGUUGCCUACCACAUCUUCUAGUCUAGUCGAAUGAUCGAGGCCUUUGGCUUUCAGGAGUCUUAAGCAAUGAUGGAGUUGAGCUCGAGUAGUUCGAGGUCUAUAUUAUCGCUCCUCAAGUACCACUUUGUAUUCACUUAGCUCGAGCAUUGAGCAUUAUCCUAGCCCACAGGCUGGGUUUAUUGCCACGUGAUAAGUGAGAAUGGAUGCCUUCCCAAUGCGUCCUUUUUCUUGCCAUCAAGAACUUUGAGCUUGGAAAAAGCAGGAAUGCCAAAAUUCAAACUGUUUGGCUGAGUUGGCUUUUCAAAGUGAAAAUUGAACCGUUUGAGAUACACAUGGCAGGGCUGAGUUGGCUUUUCAAAUGAUGGCAGUAGGAUUUGCGCCUCAUCAUUGUGCCCGCAGUAUUUAAUCUAGUGGGCUGUUCCUUCAGGCCUUUUAAAAACCCAAAGAAUCUCCUUUUUUUCCUCACUUUGCCUUAUUUUGCAAGCCGAGACGCUGCUGGAUCUUUUUCCAGGCUACCUCCAACCAGUUUUUUCUGAUGCCACUUAAUCAAUUCCAGUUCAUUCACCUUACUUUCCUAGAGCUAUUUCAUGGGUAACAAGUUUUGCCUUAUCUUUACCUUUUAUUUUCUGUUUUUUAGUGGUUUUUUGGUCAGUGCUUGUGUCGUCUUAGAUAAAUUUUGCUUUUCCGGCAACCACCUGGAACCGUACCUCCCUAGAGCUCUGACUCAGUUUUUCCUGCCCUAGGGGUUGGGCGGCGGGCCUAGCCUUUAAUUCAUUUCUUUUGGGUGAAAGGAGAUGAAUGACAAAAUCUUGAUUGUGUAGAUUAACUUAGGACUACAUUGACUAUGCCUAUGAUGUGGAAAUCCUAUUUCCCAAGGAUUAGUUUUAUGAUGAGUGUGUGACAGUUUUUCUACAUUGGUUUAAACCAUGAUGAAGGAGCCUGCUGCUUUGGGAGACUAAUUCCAUGUAAGCAUCAGGAAAUCCCUGUUUGCGUAGUCUUCUUGUUGUGGAUAGGUUUUGUUUUUCUGCUUGUCUUGUCUAGAUAGUUUUCUUAUUUAACUAGAUGUGUUAUGUAGAUUUCAGAAUAUUAAUUUUUGAGUAUUUGAUGAAUACCACAGAUGGGGAAUGCAGACAGGAUUUUUAUUGCCAAUGGCAACUAGUGUGUAUGCUGCACUUUGGGCAACUAAUGAUAAAAUUUUAGUCAUAUAGCAGUAACUUUUGAAAGGUCAAUUAUAAUUUGCUUAGUCAAAUAGACCAUUAAAAGAUGAUGGAACUUAUUAUUAAUUUUAUUGUUUUUUCUUUUUUAUUAUUAGUCCUGAGGUGAAAUUGUUUAAUUCCAUAACAUGAAGACAGCUAAACAUUUUGAGAAGAUUUGAGAACUGCCCACUGGAGGCAUUGAUGCAUAUGCCAUCUUAGUAGGAAAUAUGUCUUUGACAUCUAUGAGAAAAGUUUAUCAAUAGAUCAUAGUAGGUAAUAAGUCUUUGACAUCUACUGGAAAUAAUGUGACAACUGAUGUGAGGUAAGAGGGUUUAAUGGGAAAAAUGUACUCCUUUCAUGCUAUAUGAGGAAUGAAUGGAAAUAAUAAAUUAUCUAUUCUGACAAGAAUAUAUGCUUCAUUAAAUGAGGUUAAUUCUUCUGCUUGAACAAGUAUUUAGUAGUUGUUCCCUUAGAGGAGGCCCCCUGAGCUUCCCUUUCCUACUUACUGCUUCUUGCUUGAUAAAUUUUGUAUUAAGAAUGAGCAUAAUUACAUUGUGUCUUAUUUAAAAUAUUUUCUUUUCUCUUUGUCAACAGUUUGUGUUUUGUGUGCCUCCUUUCCUAUAUCAAAAUAUUUAUCUGCAUCAUCGCCUGGAACCUUGAAGACAUUUGCAUAUCUACAGAACACUGGCUGAAUGAGUAUUGAUUAGUUGAAGUGUAUUUCUGCUAAUGGCAGAAACUGUGAUAAUGUUCCUCUUUAUAUCUAUGGCAUCUAUUCAGGACAUAUGUAUUGAAAUUUGAACCAGUUGCCUUACUUGAGAUGAUUAGUUGUGGCUGAGGCAAUGAAAUCCAAAUGGGAUAGCAUUAAUUGAGUUGGCAUCUUGUUAACUUUUCCUCAAAGUUGAUAUAUUGUAUCUUGCUUUCUUGCAGUCAAGUCUGGUUUUGGAUAUUUAUUCAACUAGAUGAAUAUGGUAUUUGAACACACUCAUUUUCUCAUUGUUCACUCCUUUUCUAUUCUAGUCACUUCUUGUUUAUUAACUUUGAGCUAAUUAUUUAAUUGGGGAAAUGAGUUUCUUACUUAAUAUGAGUUAGAUGUUGAAGAUGGUCACACUUUGCAUCUGGUUACCAGACAACCAGUUCCACCAUCAUCUGAGGGUUCACAUAAUCAAUCAGGUUUGAUAUUCUUGAAAGCUUUUUAUCAUCUUCAUAUUUGACUUCAGAUAUUUCAUGGAAUACUUGCUCUAAUUUUGUAUUUGGUUGUUACUCAAAGCUUUGUUAGUGGGAGUAAAUUCUAGUUUGAAGUCUUUCUGAUUAUGGAAAUCCUUCUUGAUUGACGUUAAUGAGAUGUUUGACUUUGAAGUAAUCAUAACCCUGAGUUACUUGAAGUUACUUUUUUUGUUGCCUUUGUUAUGUUCUAAACUUUUAAGCAAUGUGUGGAUGUAAUUUUGGUCACACAUGUACUUUAUAUUCCCAAUAUAAGUAUUUCAUUCCCUGUUUUUGUCUUAGUUUUCAAGCAUGGCUCUUUAUGGUAAUCUGAAUUUUAGUUGUGUCAAAGGUCAUAUUCCCAUGGUAUUUACUCUUUUAUUUGCGAAAUGGAUGAAAUUGUGGUGAAUUUGAUGGAAUGAUUUAAAAUUAAGCUUUCACAAAUUCUUAUGCUAAUGUACUACAGUCUAGAAUGUUUUCUUUUGUUGAUCAGCAAGAUCUAUGUCAUCAUAUGCAUGCUGAAAGCGGGCAUUUUGUAAUUCUUAAUUGUAUAUUCUGUCUAGCUUCUAGAUUUUUUCGCUGUUUCACUGAAUUCAUUAAUGUGAAUACCGGUUUUUUCCCAUAAAAAGCCAUUUUCAGUUAGAACUAGAGAACUUACUGCUGAAAGUAAUUGUUUGCAGAUGCUAUUCCUGGUUUGGGUAUGAGUCAUGGUCAAGACAAUCAGGUAGCUCCUGGGUUUCUACCUGAAAAUUUGAAUGUGCCUAAUCAAGGUGAUGCCAUUCCUCCAGAAAUUAAUCAGGUAAGUCUAUGAAUUAGAUGUGGAAUGGGACUCGUUUUUGGAUUUCUAUAGGUGUAAUUACAUCUCGCUAUAUCAGUUCCUACUUUGUUAUCUUUCUUGCUUGGCAGCUUGUUUCUGCUGUUCUUGGUGCUUUUGGAGUUAAUGAUAUUGGUGGUAAUCAGGGGCCUGAUGCUAGGGUAAAUUUCUAGUUCAAAGUCUACAAACAAAUCGACUACUUGUUGAAAUUGGUGUGCGACCUAUUGUUGCUUGGCAUGAUAUUUCGUGAAAGUGUGGCUCUUUGUUAUGCAAAUAAAUAAAUAAAUGCUUUUCAGAGAGUGAAUGUAAGGCAAACGCAACAAAGGCUGAAUUCCAUGUAAUUGAUGUUUUCUUUUUUGCUUUCUUGUUGCCUUCGUCUUGUCCUUUCUGAGCCACUGCAUGACCCGACAAGAUGUUAAGCACGUUGAAUUUGGUGUAUCCUUAACAUUCUUAGAAGUUGCAGAAAAUUUUCUGAGUCAUGGUUUAUUACAUUCUAAAAAAUUUUUUUUUUUAUGUCUGCAUGGAUCUAUAUAUGUUUCUAUCCAUAUUUAAUCUCACUUUUUGGUGUGUGGGGGGGUUGGAUGUGGAAGAAUAAUGGCCUGGAAGGACUUGGAUAUUGGGUGCUAACAGCAUCUCUGGUUUAACCCAAUCAAAUAGUGCCUUUGCAUUGGCAGUGUCUUUGGGGGCUCUUUCGCCCCUGGUAAGGUUGAGAUUCCUGGUUUUACUUUAUUCAUAUGCACUUCCUUUUUUCCUGGGUUGACUUUUUUUUUUUUUGGAUUUGAAAUGGAUCUUCUUUCAUGUAUUUACUGGUUGGAUAUUAAAUAUUGCGUGAUAUCGUGGACUUUGUAGGUCGUGCCUGAUUCUUUGACUACUUUGUCCCAGUAUCUGAGUCGAUUGAGGCGUGAGUUUGGUAACAGCAGUCAUUCCCUUUUUUUUUAACUUUAAUACAUGCAAAUCAGUCCUUUAAUGCUAGUACAUUCAGAUGUUUGAAACUUGAAAUACAUUUUGUUUACAGGCAGAGGCAAUGGAAACAAUGUGCAGACUGCUGAUAUCCAUGGUACUGCAGAAAGAGAAUCUAAUUCCAUAUUGCAUUCAGUGACUGCACCGGGCCUUACUCCAACAGCAUCCUUGGCAGAAUUGAUGCUGUCUGCAAGGCAAAUGCUUAUUGAACAAGUUGGAGAAUCCCUACUGGUAUAUGCAGAAUCAUUAUCCUUCUAUAUCAUUACCCGUCAAGGUAGCCCAAUUGGUCAGCGCGAACACUGGGAAGUGUGGUCCUAGUAAGUGGCACAUGGUCCUAAGUUUGAAUCCUGCCACUGAUGAUACCUUGAAUUUACCCGGUGUUGGUUGUUGCGGGCUGGUCAGCACUCCAAGGUUUGGGUCCCCAUGGAGAGUCCUAAGGGCUUGGUCAUGGAAGGUUCAUUGGUUAUAAUAUAUGUAUAUAUAUAUAUAUAUACUUCUACAUUGUUGAAAAUGUUUAUUUUGGUAAUUCAUAAUAUUUGAGAAGUUUUCUGGUAGCAUACCAUAUAUGAUGCAGGUAUUUCAUUACUACUCACAAUGUGAACAGAUUUGAUUUGAUCAUCUUUUAGAUUUGUACGCAGAAUAAAAGAAUCUGUUUAUCACGGCCUACAAAUAUCUGCGAGUUUCUCACUAUCCUGAUCCAUAUAUGCCAAAAAUAACAUGUAUAACAAUGUUCUAUUUUAUAUUUUGGCAGCAACUACAGAGGCAGCUAGAGAAUCAAGAGACUGCGACUAAUCUGUCUGAGAGGCGGGACAUUCAGUUUAGCGCAGGGAGAACAGGAGUUUUGCUUCAAAAUGUUGGUGCAUUUCUACUUGAACUUGGUCGUACAACCAUGACACUGAUCAUGGGUCAAAUGCCGGUAAGUAUAUUUUGGUUUUCAUUCAAUUAUCUGGUUGAUUGAGAUAUCAUUGAUGUCUUGUGUUCCUAUGAAUCAUUUCUUAUGCAGUCUGAAGCUAUGGUUAAUACUGGGCCUGCACUUUUCAUAUCCCCAUCUGGUCCUAAUCCUCUCAUGGUUCAGGCAAUAUUCUCAAUAUCCCCUUCAAAAAAAAAAAAAAAAAUGUAUCUUUAAAUUUUUUUAUCCACAUUUUCUGAUCAUAAUUUUAUGGCCAGGCUCAGCCUUUUCAACCAGGAACAAGUUUUGGUUCAUUCUCCACGGGAACUGCACAGCCUGGCUCUGGUUUGGUUAAUGGAUUUGGUUUUCUUCCAAGGCGUAUUGAUAUACAAAUCCGUAGAGGUGCUAUUUGAAUUACACCUUGGCUAAAUAUUAUCUUUAUUUUAUUUUUGGUGUAAUUUAUGUUCGGAUUUACUAAUCAAUUCACCAUUAGGUUCUUCAAUGGUCACUCCCAAUGUUAACCAAGUGGAACAUGGUUAUACUAAUCAGCCUUCAGGCCAAAGAAACCCAGUAACAAGUUCUGGUGGUGAAAACCCAGCAACUUCUCUGGUUUCAGAGGGUUCAUCUAUUGCUGCAGUACCAAUGAGGUCCAUGCUUGGAGCAGUAUCUGGUCCAUUUAAUAGUGUUCUUUCUGAUCCAUCCAGUGGUCUUUUAGGCUUGUACCCAGUUCUUGGAAGAUUACAACAUGUGGGUUCUGGACAUGCAAUUGAUGAGCUAGGAUCUCAAGCAUCUGGUGAACAUCAAGCCACUGGCUUCCAAACCGAGCAGCUCAAUGAAGGUGGUCGCACAACAGAAGGUAAUUCGACAAAUAUGGUAGUUAAACAUAGUAAUGAAGACUAGUUGUUUCAUAACCAAUUUAUGCUCAAGUAAUGAAUUAUAUGGUAGUGAAUUAACCCCUUCCAAUUUAUGCUCAAUUUUUGUUUUUACAUUGUGGGCGGUCCUGGUGCUUGAUUUUGUUCUCUUUGUUUGGGGUCUUUUGGGUCCUGCUGUGGUUUGUAAAAAAAUUUCCUUGGAUGGCAUGGUCCCUCUGCAGGGAAAGGCAUAACAGAAGGUCUAGAGGUUGAUUCCUCUCUACUUGUUUUCAUGUACUUGGAAGAACAUAAAUAGAAAACUUUAUAUGGCUUGCAACAUUAAAAUUUAGGAAUUAUAUGCCUGUUGCUCAAUUAUCAUUUUGUUCAAAGGACCAAGGUGCUCAUAGGAAGGUGCCAAGCUUUAGUAUUUAGAUUUCAUUGACAUCAAUUAUCAUGUAUUCUUUUUGACCUUUUUUUGAAGUGUUUCCUUGUGUACUUCUCCUGUACUUGGGUUGCACCCUUCUUUUGAUUGGUCCUUUGAAUAUAGCAUGCUGUUAUUUCUGCCUAUGAAAAAAGAAAGAAAACAAAAUUUGAGGAGAGAUAUGGCUUAUGCCCAUGUUGCUGUUUUUAAGUUAUGUUUUUUUUUUUUUUAAACAAGAAUCCUUUGAUUUUUAUUUGAUGAAAAUUUAGAUACUUUAAUUUAUGUAAGGUGAAUAAAGGUAUAAUGUUCCAUGAUUUCCAUUUCUUUUUUACUUGUUGGCUCUUCAGUUUGUUUAGAGCUACCGAAAGAUAUUAUAGAAUAGAAUAUAUAGAAAGGGCUGUUUCAGUGAACUUUUCCUAUGAAGGAAAAAAAUGCAAAAGAUAGUGAUUUUUUUAUGUUUAUGUACCAUAGAAAAAGGGAAGGAAAAAAAUACUAAGGAAAAGAUGGGGGAAAAAGCUAAAAGAUUUUCUUGGUCUCAUACGCCUUGUUUGAUUCCAAGAAAGUACUAAGGAAAGAACAAAAAAUGUUAAGGAAAUAAUUUUUUCGUAUUUGGUUUUACUAUGGAAAAUAGUAAAAUUAGUCAAAAACUUAUGCUUUUUCAAAUUAUUUAAUCUUUAUAUUGAAGAGUUAAAAUAAAUGAAAUAAGGUUGAAGUAGUAUAUAUAAAUAAUUUAUUGACUCUAAAUCUAUUUUUUAUUUUUCUUCACUUUUUUUUUUCUUCUACCUUUCCUCUCUAUUUUUUUUCCUUUGCAAUUCCCCUCAAAUUUUUUAGGAACCAAACAUAGCUUUUAAAAAAAUAUGUGAGGAAAGUUUGGGGUGCAUUCCUCAUUAAUUUAAUUCUCUUCUCUCAACUUUUCUAUGGAUGACCAAAUAAAAGAAAAUUCUAUAAUUUUUCUUUUAUCUUCUCCUUUUCCUCUCUAUUUUUUUUUCCUCAUAUUUUCCAAGAAUCAAACAUGGUCUAACAGAAAAAUAGGAAGUCCACCCCUAAACAUGCUGAAUUGCAAAUUAACUUAACAGCUGCACAAGGCAAAACCCCAUAAAAUCUGAACAGAGACAAAACAUAAACCCUCAAAUUCAAAACUACUUAAAAAUGUAGGAAGCAGUUUCAAUGAGCUGUAACAUGUAGAUAUUCAUUUGUAGUCGCUACAGAUAUUUCUACACUCAAGUUUACUUGUCUUUUCUCAUUCGUUAUUGGGUAAAGCCACUUAAUCAUGUAGGGAGCAGUUUCAAUGAUGUAUAACAUGUAGAGUUUCAUCAGUAGUUACUGCCAGUAUUUCUACACUCAGUUUACUUGUCUUUUUGCUCAUUCAUGAUUGGCUUUGGGAGUUGGAGAUAUAAUUAUUGGUUGGAUUUGAGUUCACCUGAUUAUUCUGCAUCAGGUGACCAUGACAUUAUCCUUGUUUUCAUGAGCUAAAUUUUUUAAAUUGCUUGUUUUUGCAGGAUCAUUGCCAACUCCUAGUUUAAGACACCUGGCACCAUCUGAAUCCCAGAAUUUCAGAAUCAACCUUCAGUCAACCAAUGGGACCAUAACUAAUCCAGAAGCUGAGGGACAUAUGCCCAGCAGUGUCCUUCAGUUUCUAAGGACCAUGUUUGCAGGUGGAGAAAUUGAACAUGUCGAGGAUUUCAAUUCACAAGGAAUAGCUACAAAUCCCGUCACAGAGCAUUCAGAGGCAGCCGCUGGUGCCAUGGAUGCUCAGCAAGCAGAACCAGAAGUUACUGAUGAAGGGAUCUUCUUGUCCAAUAUGCUUCGAGAGAUGAUGCGCUUCAUAUCUCAAGAUGUGGACCCAAAUGUCGCACCUCCUGAAGGAUCAAGUGCUUCAGAGCAUGGAACUGAUUCUUCCUCCCAAGUAAGCUUGCUUCAGCAAUUACCCACUUACCCUUGUUAUGAAUUAUGACCUCUUCUACCUCAAACUAAAAAGGAAUUUGAAUUUCUUCUUAUGUUUGUUCUUAAUGCCCUCCGUGUUAUCAGAAACAAAAUGGAGAAUGAGGCUUAGGCAUUAAGUGGGGAUAUGUUGUCACAAGUACUCUUAGUGCACUAUGUCUUAUUAAGUAAUGGAGCAUAAUAAUUAGGUUGGGUCGUAAAUCUGAAGGUCAAGCUAAGUAAUGAUGUAUUUGCAGGCUGAGAGCUCUGUUGCUGGGACUUUGCGACGGGAAAGUGAUAAUCAGGCAAGCCCCCCAAAUUCAAAACGUCAGAAGGUAUUACAGUUUGAAACUUCUCUGUCUUUCCUUUUCAUCUUCUCUCUUUCAAAUGCGUCUUAACUUAUCAUAUCUUCAGAAUUUAGGAGGAAAUGAUGCUGUGUCAUUAGAAAUUAGAAUUGAGAUAUUCAAAUGAGACACAUCAGUGGGUUGGAUCAUGAUCUCAAUCCUUGAUAAGACGCUGCAUUCUAUUUCCUCUGGUGAUCUCAUGCAUUCUAUUUCCUCCAGUGGUCUCAUGCAAUAAUUGUUAGAUCUGAUUCUCUGAAUUUGCAACCAUAUGGUAAAUUAUAUGUUUGUAUAUAGCAUUUUCAGUGUUUUGUAGGACUUCAAUUUAAUUUCAUCAUGCCAAAGUCAUCCACAUCAGGAUCCUGGACUGGAUUUAUGGGGGUCUCGUAGCUCAAUUGAGAACUUUCAAAUUCUAAAUAGUGGCAAAGAUGAUUGAACAUGACAUGGUCAUAUUAGAAAAUUUCCUGGAAUGCUGGUUAAGUUCAAAGUAUGAGAAAAUGUAAGAAAACAGAUAAGAAUACUUAUAUUUUUUUGCAAAAUAAGCUACUGAAACAAAAGGCCAACCUAAAAGCUGCACUAAAAUUGCUUUUGGAAGUGAUUCUUAUAGGGUGAGAAGCAUUUCCUAAUGCUAGGAAACACUUUCUUUACUAAAAUUAGGCAUUCAACAAAGUUUUAAAAAUCACUUUUGAACACAAGAAGUGAUUUUUUGAACUAGCACUUGGUGUUUUUUCCAAAGUCACUUUUUCGUUAUGCAUCCAAUUGCUAAAAACACUACUAUAUUCAAACAUUAACUGAUUCUUGAUGAAAAUGUUUCUGAAAGAAGUGCUACCAACAAAAGUGCUACAGAUUAAAAGUCCUUUUACCAGAAUCACUCCUAAAUGAGUCAUUAGCGUCUUUAAAAGAAGCAUGAAACAGUCCUCAAAAUGGAUAUUCAAACUCAUGGAUGUUUUUUGAAUACUUUCAAAUAUGCAGAGCUAUAAACAGAUUUAAAUGUGGUCUUCUUAUAGAUUUAUUGGGUUACAUUUCAUUGGAGUUGGUAGACCUACCUCAGUUGGACUUCCGACUGAUUUGGUAUAGGCAUUAUUUAAGAUAAUUUGAAUGGUUGAACCAGCAAAGCUAAAGGUGACCACAUAAUCUCUUUACAGUUUUGAUGCCCAAGACAACAAAAAAAAAAAAAAACAAAUAAAUAAAAAUAGAAGGAACAUUAGAUAUAUCUUCAUGUGAGUUUGCUUAGGAAAGGUGGACACGAAGGCGUUGCAGGUGAGAAUGGGAUUAGUGGAGAUUCUAAAAACUGCUGCAAAUCCUAUGCAAUGUGAUAUUGUAACAAUAUGGAAGUCAAAGCUCAUCAUGCAUGCAUCUUUAGUUCAGGUGGCCCUACCAACCAUAUGGUGGACUCUGGAAGAUCUUUCAUGCUUAAAAUUAAUUAAUAGGAAGAUAAAUUAGCACAUUCUUUUGGUUAUUUAAUAGAAUGGGGGGAAAUCAUUCCUAUUUUGAUUACAAAAAUUAUCACUCUGAAUCGAUUUGCUUAUGUUUGCAUGUUCUCCAUGCUUAACGUUUAUUUUGAGGGCAAAGUGUUUGAUUUGUGUUUCUUGCACAGAUGGAUGAUUCAUCCUGAGACUAGGGUUUUGAGAUAUGCUACCUGUUAUCUGUGGAUGCUGUGAAUAAUGAUCCCGAGGGCAAGCAGUGAGGCUUUUCUUACAGGUAAAUUUAGGCGCUAGUCAUUCCACCAUUGUAGUAAACCAUCCCCUUUUCACUUGAGCAGGUCCAUGAAGUGACUUUUCAAGAAUAGUCAUUACUUCCUUGAGACAGAAUAAAAUGACCUGCUGUUUGCCUGUAGUACUGAAUUCCAUCUUAUAUGUAACAAUACUUGGGUUGAUGUUUUGGUUUGCAUUUCCAUUAAGUGUAGUGGGUCUAAUGACUUUAUCCGAGCGCUUCCAUAAAUGUUACUGUUGGGGGAAACCUUGGUGGCUCCCAUUGUAUUCAUUGGAUUACUUUUAUGUGGGAUGCUGUGCUGACUGCUGAGGAAGUUCUGUUUUGAUCCCACAAACACGAGUGUAUGGGUACAAGGGAUCCUUGGACUCAUCGGAUGAAGUAUUUGUUGGCAGUCUAUUUGGGCGGUAAGUCCAACAAAAUUGAGUUCCUUACUUCUUGUUCAUCAGCCUUUUCAGUGUUGUUGGCGAUACUUUUUUGCACACUGCCAUGAUUUUGCAGUUCAAUCAACUGAAAUAAUCUUGAAACAGCCAUUAUUUUGAUGCUACAGUGUUGAUCAACUUCAAUGAUGAUGCUGAAUGGUAUUUGUCAGCGUGGGCUGUAUAGGUGAAAAUUUGAACUUACAUAUUUGGUUUCCAUAUCUGGGAGCUAUUAUUUUCUGAGAGUAGGGUUUCAAAGAUUAAAAAAAAACCAGAGACGGUUUACAUUGAUGUUUCUGUGAAGCCAUGACGAAAAAUUCUUGAUAAAAUAAGUUUAUAUUGUAUCUUGAGAAAUGAGAGUGCUUGACAACUUUAAAAUUACUUUCUGUUCCUCAUCUUCUUGAGAAAAUGGUUGUAGAGAACAAAUUCUGCCAACUUUUGGGGUGUAAUUUUUAAACUUUCCCUUGCCAAAUUCUGCGAUUUUAUUACAUUUUAAACUAAGGUGGAGUAGUCGUGUGAAUGAUCCCAUGAUCUUUAUAAUAAUAAAACGUGUUAAAGAGAUUAGACCAAUUGUCUUCUCUCAUAUCAGUUUUAAGUCCCUUGGUUUGAUUUUAAUCUUCUAAAAAACAACUUAAGGCACAUAUUAAGUCAUUAUUUUUUGUCAAUAGGCUAGCAAAUUCAAUGUUGUAGGAAAUCUUUUCACAUUUCAAUUUUUAAUUGCUAAAUAUUUUAUUUGUAUUGAUUGAAUUUCCUUUCUUCAAUUUUUAUUUAUUUUUUAAGAUUAAUUUCCUUUCCUUUAAAUUACCUCAUUAUAUUAGAGUACAAAGCAAAAAAAUAAAAAAUAAAAUUGGCAACUAGAAGCAAAAAAUAAUUUAAUGUUCUUAAAAAUAGAAAAUAUGGAUGGUUGCUUUUAUUUGUUUUCAAUUAUUUUCUAAAGGUCUAAACUAUAAUUAUAUAGAUAUGAAGGACUAAAAACGAAAUAAUAUAAACAUUUUAGGUUAUAAACCAUUUUUUAUUCUAUAAAACAGUCAAAAAUAAUUUUAAAAAACUGUUUUCAAAAUUGUUUUUAAACUACUUUUCAAAUAUAAACUUAGAGUGUGCUUGAUAAUAGUUUUAAAAAAUGUUUUUAACAUCUGUAAUACUUAAAAAUUUUUAUCCAUUAAAUAUUAAAAAUAUUAAAAACACUUUUUAUAAUCAUUAUCAAACGCAUUCUUAUUAAUUGUAAUUACAAAAACUUUUUUUUAAAAAAAUAAAAAUAAUUUUAAGAAUUCGUUUCAAAUAUGUUAAUCAAUCUAAGUUUCAAAUUACUCUUUCCCAAAAUCAUUUCAUUUUUCCAUAUUCAUUUCUACUCAUAUUUUCAAUGCCCUUUUUAUUUUUAAAUUAAAUUAAUAUUAGUGAUUAGAUUUUUUAAAAUAUUUUUUUAUAUUAAUUUCUAUUAGUAUUUUUUUAUAUUUAAUUUUUUUAUUAAAUUUAAUUAACAUAGUUGAUUGACAUAAGCUCAUUUUUAAAAUUAUUAAAUUACCUUCUAAUCAAAAUGAUUUAACAUCAUUAACACACCAAAUUAUAACCAUAUAUUUAAUUUCCUUUUUAUAUCAAUUCUUAUUAUUUUUCAUUCCUCAUUCCUAAUUAAAUUAAAUUAAAUUAACAUAAUAAUAUAAAUGUCAUUUUCUUAAAUGUCAAAUUCUUAUUUUUAAAAUAAGACUUCCAAAGUGGUGAUGAAAUGGGUUGAAUUGGAUUUACAUUUAAUUUGGGCUUCUCGAAAAAGGCCCAAAGGGUUUUGUGUCGAAAAUCAAAACCCUAGAUCCUACGGUCAAAAACACGUUAUAAAACAAUCGGAACAAACCCUAAGCCGCUGUCUCCACAUUCAUCCUCCUUUUUUGCAUCGUCCGCCUCUCUGCUCUCAGCCACGCCCAGGCCAAAAUGGUGAGUGUCUCAGCAACUCUCAAAUUUUCGUUCUGAUAAAUAUUUGAUUUUGUUUUGUUUUGUUUUGUUUUGUUUUCUUCAGUCUGAAAUUGAAUCAUUUCUAUUUUGUGUAGCCUUUCAAGCGGUACGUGGAGAUCGGGCGAGUCGCUCUCGUCAACUACGGCAAAGAAUACGGCAGGCUCGUCGUCAUAGUCGAUGUCAUUGAUCAGAAUCGGGUAUGUGUGAAUGUGUGUGUGCUUGAUUUCAUCCUCUCGGUUGUUUUCUAAGAGUUAUCUCAGCAACGAGUAGUGGUUCUGGAACGGAAAACCUUAAUUUCAGAAAUUUAGGGUGUAUUCAGAUCUGUUCUUCUUAGAAAACAAUUCUCUUCUUUUUCUGAAACAGAAACUAGUAGAAAAUGCAAAAUGGAAGUCAAUCAACGGAUAUGAAAGUACUAAUUAUUUAUAAUUUUUUUCGAAUGAUAUUGAGUGGGUUUGAUUUAUAUGAGGUGGAUUUAACAUUUUCCUCAUUGGGAAUAUAUUGAGACCCAUUGACCAACUGUGUCUAACAAACUAGUGGAUUUUUUGCUUUUGCCUUGGAAUAAAUUAGAUAAGUUUUAUGAAAGAUUUUUCAAAGUCUACAAGCAUUGAAUACAUCAAUAUUAAAGAUAUACUGUUGUUUCCUUCAUGAGAAGAGAUGAUUAUCAAUCUCAGAGUGCAAUUGUAUCCCUUUGCAGGCUCUUGUGGAUGCACCCGACAUGGUGAGAUGCCAAAUGAACUUUAAGAGGCUUUCACUCACUGAUAUCAAAAUUGACAUCAAAAGGGUGCCUAAGAAAAAAACAUUGAUUGAAGCUAUGAAUGCCGCGGGUAAUGACAUGUGGAAAAAAUGGGAACUCUUUUCCAUAUUUGAUAGUCAUCUUUUUCAUUAUCUUAAUUUUUCUUUUGAUGGCAGAUGUUAAGAACAAGUGGGAGAAUAGUUCCUGGGGCAGAAAGUUGAUUGUCCAGAAGAGGAGGGCCUCUCUUAAUGACUUUGAUAGGUUCAAGAUCAUGUUGGCAAAGAUUAAGGUUUGUUAUGAUGCAAUCCCUGUGUGUUGCUGUUUAAUUUUUCCCAUCUCUCUACUUAAUUUUUUGUGGAUUCAGACUAGAACCCCACUGGAAAUGGCCCAAUCUAAUAUAUUUGUUUAAUAUGCAUUUGCAGAGGGGUGGAGUGAUCAGGCAAGAGCUGGCAAAGCUGAAAAAACAGACUGCAUCCUAGGCACUAGUUUUCAAUGGGAUCCCAAUUUUGUUAUGAAUUUUCUGCAAUUUGGAUUGUUUUGUCUAUUAGUUUUAAAGUUUAAAAGCUACUUAAGAAACUUCUUGUAUCUUUUUACAGACCAGUAAUCAGUCUUAGUUUUUUUUGGUGAGACUAUUAUGUUAAGAUGCAUGGAUGUGAUCACUGGGUUGUUUAUCACCACUAUAAGGUUGCUGUCUUUGUCGUCUAAUUUCCUAUGGGAAUUGGAUAGGGUGUGAUUUAGAACAAAUCAACAUGCAUCUAUAAGCUCUGGGAUUUCAUUUAGAGGCUUUGUGUACGGAAUUGUUUUCUUGUCAUAUGGAUUACUAUCUUGUCCUAUUUGCCUGUGCCAGCAGGUUAUAGGAUUCUUGAGUUUGUUGCAAUCUGGAUGAUGCUAGAACUGCAUUUUGCCCUAGCAACCUGUUUUUAAGACAGGUCUGUGUUCGGCCAAACUUAAGAGUGCGCUGCCUGUGAUAGAAUUUGUUAAUUAGUUAAUAUGUUGAUACUAGUCAGAAUCAAUUCAAACCCCAGUAUUUUUAACCCCAAAUUGGCUAUUUGAUACUAUUAAUGACUUUCUCAGCCUAUUUUGUUGCUUCUAGUGAGUUGCUUGAGUGCUGCUAGGGUUUUGGGAUAGGUUAAAAAAACGUGUAAAAUUUAGUACACAUGCUACUAAAUUUCUCAAGAAGGUUAUGGGCUAUGGCUGCUGGCUUAGUAGGCUGAGGGGUGAAACUCUGCCUAGAGUCGUUUUCAAUUAUUUGAUCUCAAAUGAGAAAUGGAAUUAGGGCUCAAAAUCAGUGACCUUGCCAUCUCCAUAUCUGAAUCAAUAUGAUGUUAAUGCUGUAAAUCAUAUGUUUUGCAUCCCUAAUUCAUUUUCAAAACUUGCAACCUACUCGUUUGCAGUGUACGUGUGGCUCGGAGCCAGUUGCCCGCUGAUCGUUAACCACUGAGCAGCAUUAGGCAAAGCAGGAAGAAUGAAAGACUGAGAAAACUCUUAACAGUUGGUAGAUUGCCCCUUAUUUUAGGAUUAAAGUUGGAGUAGUGCUCGGAAGUAGAUUGAACCAUUGUAAAUAUUAGAAUUUCUUAUCCAUUUUUUCGUAUUUAUUAUUAUGCUCCUUUUUUAUAAAUAAAAAAAAAAAAUUACACUCAUGCAAAAAAAAACAAAAUAUUAAAAAAUAAAUUUUAUUAAAUAAAUUAAUUUUAAUUACCUUAUUUUUAAAUUCUAAUAAAUUGAUUGUUUAAAAUAUAAAAAUAAUAAUAUUCUAUUUUAAGUCUUUUUAUAUCUUUUGAAUAAAAACAUAAAUUUGUAAAUGCAAUUAUAAGUAUUUUUAAAUAAAAUUAAUCCUACAUAUAUCAUUGUUGUUCUCUAUCCUUAAAUGGAAUUGAAGUAAACAUAUUGUCGUUUUUACAUUAAUUUUUUGUCAAAUUUUAUAUGUUAUUGUCUAAUGUUAUAAAUUUUAUUAUGUAUAUUAUUUUAAAUUUUACAUGUGUAUUAUUAUUUAUUCUAUUUUUAAUUUUUUUAAAUAAUUUUACUGUGUUGAUGAAUUUUCAUACCUGAAUUUUUUUUAUAUUUUCUGAAAUUUCCAUAAAAUCUAGUCACAUUCAUCAUUUCAAAUGUUCUCAUCCUUGGGAACGAAGUUAGGGUAGUGGGGUACCCAACUUUUUUUUAUAAUUUAAAUUGAAAAUAUAUAUAUAUAUAUAUAUAUAUAUAUAUAUAUAUAUGAGGAAAAAUAAGACUAGUGAAUUUAACAUGUACGAAUUUUAUUUUUAAAUUAUUUAUAAAAUUUCAAUUUUUAGGUAAUGUUUGAUUUCUAAUUAAAUAUAAAAAGUUAAAAUAUUUGGUUAUUAUUUUUAAAAGUUGUUAGAAAAAUGGUUUUGAAAAACAAUUUUUUAUAUUUUCAUAUUAAAAAAAAUUAUAUUAGGAACUAAAUUAUGGAAAAUAUUUUUUGUUUAAAAAAAAAAAAAACAGUUUUGAUGGAAUUAAUAAUAUACUAAAGUUCCAAUCAGAAAAUGCAAGAUUCAUACGAAAGCGAGAAAAAUAAAUUGCUUUAGAGCAAAUACUUUUUUCUUUUACUAUCAGUCUUUCCCGAGAACCAAUCAGAAAAUAGAGAAGAGUUAACAACACCAUCCUCUUGAGCUCCAGCUUCAACAUUUUUCUUCUUCUUCUUUCUUCUCAUUUUCUUCUUUUUCCUCAAUUUCUCAGCGUCCAGCAUCGCAGCGAGGUUCUGGAAAACGCUCAAAUCUUCUCCUCUCUUGUUCGCUUCCUCUCCAAACGCAUCCUCGGUUUAUUGGCCUAGCCAUCUUCCUUCUCUUUACUACUUGAUGAGACCACAGAUUUUCUAUCAUUUUCUUUUCCAGAAAAUUUGGGUGGGAAACACAAGAAGUAAAAGGAAAUACGGAGAACACUACCUUCUUUAAAAAAUAAUAAAAACAUCUUUUUAUUAUUCUAAAAAAAAUGAUUUUUUGAUAACAUGAAAAACAAAAAACAUCACCUUUCCCAAACAUAUUUUUAGUGUUUUUAUUUUCAAGAAAAGAAAACAUUUCUUAAAAAAAAGCAACUAAACAAACCCUUACUUUUUUCUAAUCAACUAAAAAUAAUUUAUUAAUAUUAACCAAUAUAACUAAACUGAAGCUAUUAGUAAUAGAUUUACUUUAAUUAUGUUAACGUAUAUCAAUAAGUUAUUUUAAAAGGAAGAAUGUGAAUUGGGCUAUUAAAACUUUUUCAAAAACUAUUUAAAUUAACCAAUAAGUAAUGUAAUAAAUGCAAAUAGAGAAAAAAGAGAGAUGCAAACUUGUUUUAUAGGGGUUUCAUAAAUUUUGUUUACAUCCACUCUCCUCAAUCUUCUUUUUGAAUAAAAGUUUCACUAAAACUUCGAACUAAGCUUUCAAUUUGUACCAUUAGAUUUAAUGGUCCCAAUGGGUUUUACAAAUCUUCUUAAACUUAACACUUAUUUGAAGCUCUAAUCAAUUAACCUUUUAUAAAAACGGUAUAGUUAAUUACACUCAACCUAGCUCCAUAAUGGUUCAAUAUAAUGAAAAUUGGGAUGAAAACAAAUGGGUGCAUCAAAUGAUUUGCAAAUGAAGAAUUCAAUGGACUUGGGUUUGAGAGUUUUGAAAGAGAGAAAAGAGUAGACUAAUAAUUCAAUAUAGUUAUUUUGCACACAAACUCUCAAUUUAUAGUAAACCAACCCAACCUAGGACCCCAUUUUUUUUUUUUUUUUGAAGAAAUAAGUUUUACCUAACCAAACUUCGAUUUGUCCAAUUUAGUAGUUGUUGGGCAUUUAAUGUACUAUAGGUGAUUGUUGAUCUUCUAUGAACUUUGACCAUCCCUCAAUUGAUACUCGAUUGGGGAAAGCAGUACCUCUAUCAUGAACACAAAGGUUUUAGAAAAGAGAGAAUACAUUUUGGUACCUUGAUUGGUCCUUAACCAAGAAAGUACUUUUUCGGUCCAAAGCUUUCCAACAUUAGACAAUUUAUUUAUAAACCUUUGUAUGUUAAUUUGAAAUAAUUUUGCCUAAAGUUUUUAAAGAUUAACUUAGGUGGUGUUUGUUUUUUUUACUGAAAGCAAUUUAGUUUUAGAAUUUAGAUUGUUUAUUUUUCUACUUUUUCAUGACUUAUUAUAAACUUUUUACUAAAUAGAAAAAAUCAAAAUAUGUAACUUUUUCUAAAUAGAAAAAAUAACAUAUUGGUUUUUUUUUUUUUUUUACUUUUUAAUACUUAAUAGAAAUAAAAUACUAUAAAAACAAACAACCCAAUAUUUAACACUAUUAAGCAUUAAGGUUCUAUUUAGAAUUAAGUAAAAAAACAAACAUCACCUUAGUUUCAAAUAAUUUAUAAACGAUUAAGCUCAUUUUUAUGAAAAUCGUGUAUGAAUGAAUACAUGAAAAAUACUUUAAUCCUAAAUACACCCAACAGAUUCACCUUACAAACUUAUCUUAAGAUUUGAUGAGUCUCGAGACACCCAAGUCUUCAAAUUUAUUGAACACCUUUUAAAUAAACUUUAAGCUUCUUUUUCAUUUUAACGGUCAAACUUAAAACUUUACUUGAUUUAAACUCGUUAAUUCACUUAACCUUUUUUGUUUUUAUCAAAACUGACUUAGAAUCCUUGAACUAAUAUAUUUUGUUGUUGAUUGUUGCAUAAUAUUUUUUGGAAGUGAAAUCAAAUAAAAAUUAUUUAUUUAAAUUUUACUAAAAUGGAAAAAUAAAAUUAUUAAAUAUUAAAUUUAAAAAUAAUAUAAUGGUUUAUUUAAUUAAAUUCUAUUUUUAUAUACAUGGAAGUAAAGAAAACAAGCAAAAUCCCUUUCACCAUUAUACAUGUUUUGAACAAUUUAAUAAUUCAUUUUACCAAACACACAAAUGUUAUUUUCAAGACUGAUGAUUUUUUAAAAUCGUACCAAAUUAUAACUAAAUUUUCUUUUAACGUAAUGAAAAGUAAUUUUUCUAAAAAUUAUAAUAAAAUCAAAGUGAUCUUUAAUAUAUGAUAUUUUGUUCAUAUUUAUAUUCUUUUUGUUUUCAGUAAUCUUCUUUACUUCACUUUUUUUAAUUUUAAAAUAUUUUUAUUUAAAAAAAAAAGUACUAAAUUGGUGAUUUCACUUUCAAAUUUCAUUGAAAAGGAUAAUAAUAAUAAUUAAAAAAAAAAAAAAGGUCAUGGGCCUAGACAUCUUCGCCUGACUUCAGUCCGGUAACUUGGGCCGACUUGAAGAAUACCCUCUUCUGAGUACUAGGGUUUGGGCCCAAAACUGAUAACAAAAGCCCCGGCGUAGCUCAUCAUCAUAUAGGAAGUAGGAUUAGGGUUUCUGCAUCUGAACAACUCUGCUCCUUCGCCUCUUCUCACCGCUGCAUUCUCUUCAGCGCUCUCAAUCAUGGCGGAACAGGUCAAGCUCAGAUCUUCUAUCACUCUCCCUUUAUACAUAUAUCUUGAAACAGCUCAAAAGCCUAGUUUUUGUGACUCUUUCUAUUGCAGACCGAGAAGGCAUUUCUGAAGCAACCCAAAGUGUUUUUAUGGUAACAGAAAAUUACGAAUACAUUCUCAUUGGUUUUUGUUUUUUCCCUUGGGGAUGACAUUGUUUUUCCCCUUUUUAAUUCGUUUUUACCGUUUUUCUCUGUGCUGAAAACAAUCCAGCUCGAAGAAAUCUGCGAAGGGGAAGAGGCCUGGGAAGGGUGGAAACCGGUUCUGGAAGAGCAUUGGCUUAGGGUUUAAGACACCCCGAGACGCUAUUGAAGGUUUGAAUUCAUUUUACUUGAGUUUGUGAAUUCUAAAUUUGAUAUUCUUGCAUUUUGGUAUAUCAAUCUAGUGCUUAGCUGAUAUCUUACUCGUUUUUUAAACCGAUAGUAUACAUAAUCAUCAUAUAUUAUGAAAUAAUGGUGAAAAUUAGUGAAUUUUUUUAGUUUAUUUAUUUUUCAAGUAGUUGGCUGUGCUCUUCAUUGUGUCUUCCUGUCAUUACAGUCCUUUGAAUAUUUUAUGAAUAUUGUAUGAACUUCAGGUUCCAGAACUACAGUCCUCCUAUGAAUAUUAUAUGGGGCUUUGGGCUCAUCGUCAGAUUUAUUGAUUUUUCUCAACAUUAUGGUGCUCUACUGCUAUCUAAUAUUCUAUAAUAAUAAUAGUAAUAAAAAAAGACCAUUCCCUGGUGGUCAUCCAUCAGGGUUCUGGGAGCAGUGUGAUGGAUAUGGUCUCAGGCACUUUUUGCACAAAGUGGCCACUCACUAGAAUGGAACCUGUGAAUUUGCACCGGCCAACUUGAGAUUUUGGUAGUUUAUCAAACACGUUGAUACACAUUUGAAUUGAACUGUUAUUUCAUAUUUUUAUUGUGUUUACCAACAUGUGGACUUGCCUAAGGUACCAUCAAUCAUAUUUUUUGUUUCCCCAUUCUAUGUUUGUGUACUUGCUAUACCGUUAAAUGAUAUUGAUAUUGAGAGUGGUGUUCUGGAAGUUUAUGCAGCAUACAACUUUAGAUGCAACUUAGGGUAUACAAAUUGGGCUAACUUGUGUGUAUGUUUUUGUGUCAUACGGUUCAUAAACUAGGCAUUUGUGAGGCGUAUGCUUCAUUGCCCGAAUCUGUGCUUCUAACAUUUACUGAGAAAAAAGUAAUGAAUCCAUGGUCUUCUACAAUGAUACAGCAUGAUCGAUAUAUUUGGGAUAAAAUCUAGAUGAAAUUGAAUCCAGAUUAAAUAACCUUCUGUAUCCUGGAGUUAUUCAGUUAGUCAUUCUUGGUUUGUUAACUCAAAUCCAACCUCAGCUCCACAACAUACAAGGCAUGGAAGAAUUCCCCAAUGGGCAACUUGACUGGGGCUACCUAAUUCACUAUCCUUGGUGGAGGGUUAAUGUAUUCAUAAUUUUUCCUGGUCCUAUGAAGCACGCUAGUGGGUUCCCUCACCACGGGGAGAACGGACUUUUGACAAGAGUACGGUAAUUUAAAAAAAUUAUUCUUAAAUUACCGUAGUAGGAAAAGUAAUUCCAAAUCUACGAUAGUUUUUGCCAGGUAGGAGAGCGGAGUUUGUCAAACUUGGAAAUCGUCUUUUGAAAAGACAAUUUCCAUCAUAACAAGUAAAAAAAAAUUUAAUCCCUCAAAAAUCGUCUUUUCAAAAGACGAUUUAAAAAAAAAAAUUUAAUUUUUUUUGGAAAUCGUCUCUUAAAAAAAAAUAAAAAUUAUUUAAGUGGAAAUCGUCUCUUGAAGAGACGAUUUCCACCCAAAUUUCAAUUUAAUAUAUUUUAAUAUCUUUAUAUUAUAAAAACAAAUAAUACAAUUUAAUAUAAAAAAAUAUUAUAAAUCCAUUUUAAAAUUACAAAAUUAAUUAUAAUCAUACAAUUAUUAUAAAAUUAAUUAAUUUAAUUUACUAAUUUUAAUAUAAUAUAAAUAAUAUUUAUCUAUUGUUUUUUUUUAUUUCACUUUGCAAUUAAAAAAAACUAUUAUCAAUUUAUAUAAAAAAAUGAGUUUAAAAAAGCAAAUUUGUUAUUAAUUUAUUAAAUAAUUAUUUACAAAAUAAAUAAUUUUGUUUUGUUUUAAUUUUUAAAUGAAUUAUAUUAUAUAAAUUUUAAGAUUAAAAAUAUUAAUAUUUUAAAUUAAUAUUUCAUAUGUUUUGAUAGCUCUUAUAACCUAUUAUACUUCAUCACACCAAUUUGAAGAAGACCAUUGGCUACCCUCUCAUAGCUAGCCCAUAGGUAUAGGAGAAUCUUACCUAUUGCAUGUGUUGUCAUUUUCACCCAUUUAAUACUUCAAUUUACUCCACCAAUUUGACCGUUAUACUCCACCAAUUCCAUUUGAAACUCAAACUUUAACCACUUAUCCUACACACUACACUCAUCCUACCUUUUUCCAACUUCUCAUACACUAUAAGUGGUUAACAUUUGAGUNNNNNNNNNNNNNNNNNNNNNNNNNNNNNNNNNNNNNNNNNNNNNNNNNNNNNNNNNNNNNNNNNNNNNNNNNNNNNNNNNNNNNNNNNNNNNNNNNNNNGGCGGAGUAUUAAAUGGGUGGAAAUGACAACACAUGCAAUAGGUAAGAUUCUCCUAUACCUAUGGGCUAGCUAUGAAAGGGUAGCCAACGGUCUUCUUCAAAUUGGUGUGAUAAAGUAUAAUAGGUUAUAAGAGCUAUGAAAACACAUGAAAUAUUAAUUUAAAAUAUUAAUAUUUUUAAUCUUAAAAUUUAUAUAAUAUAAUUCAUUUAAAAAUUAAAACAAAACAAAAUUAUUUAUCUUAAAACAAUAGAUAAAUAUUAUUUAUCUUAUAUUAAAUUAGUAAAUUAAAUUAAUUAAUUUUAUAAUAUAUAUUUAUAAUAAUGGUAUGAGUAUAAUUAAUUUUGUAAUUUUAAAAUGGAUUUAUAAUAUUUUUUUAUAUUAAAUUGUAUUAUUUGUUUUUUAUAAUAUAGAGAUAAUUAAAGAUAUUAAAAUAUAUUAAAUUGAAAUUUGGGAAGAGACGAUUUCCAUUUGGGAAUUUUUUUUUUAAGAGACGAUUUCCAAAAAAAAUUAAUUAAUUUUUUUUUAAAUCGUAUUUUGAAAAGACAAUUUUGUGAAUUUUUUUGUUGGGUGGAAAUUGUCUUUUCAAAAUACGAUUUUUGAGGGAUUAAAUUUUUUUUUUACUUGUUUUGAUGGAAAUCGUCUUUUCAAAAGACGAUUUCCAAGUUUGACAAACUCUGCUCUCCUACCUGGCAAAAAUUGUCGUAAAUUUGGAAUUACUUUUCCUAUUACGGUAAUUUAAGAAUAAUUUUUUUAAAUUACCGUACUCUUGUCAAAAGUCCCGGGGAGAACACUAACAACAAUAUCUUAUCAUUUGUUUUUCCUUCUUUUUUGUUUUUGUUUUUAUUUUAUUUUAUUUUAUUUUUUUUUAAUUUUGUAAAAUCAGAUAAUUGGAAGUAGUUUCUUUUUCUUUUUACAUUUUUUGGAGAGGAGAGAGGGGAAGGGAUCAGAAAUUCUGCCCUUUCUUUUGUGUAUUUUGGGAUUUUGGCACUUAGCAGUAGGCUUAAAAUGUUUUUCUCUCAUUGUGUGAAAAUCCCCAGAUGUAGAUAUAUUGAUGGAUGUAUUAAUGUCAAUGGAUAAAAAUAUAGAAUAAAGAAGUGCAGAAAGUGAUGUAAAAGAAAAAAUGAUGGAAACUGUACGGAAUGUUAAAAAAAGAGAGCUUCUAUGGACAUAGAAAGACCUAUUAUAUUUCAAAAGGAAACUUAUUCAUGGUUGAAGAGUGUUGUAUAUGGUUACUGAAAAUAAUUCCCAGUGAGUUUGUAUUGAGAUUCACAUUGGUUUGAAUGUAGUAAGAUCCUUUCUAUUAAGAUCUUUCUAUAAAUGAAAUUAUGAAUUAGGUUUUUUUUUUUGAUAAGCAAAUGAUAUAUAAAACACGACAAAAAGCCUCAAGGCAUAUAGGAAGUAUACAAAGCAACCAAUCCUCAAACAAAAAACAACACGAACCAAACCCUAUUUGGAGGCUAACCAUUCCAAGAAACCUAUUAGGGAUUUCGACUCCAUAUCAAUGUACACUUUAGCCCAACCCCAAAUAAUGUAUACAAGCGACGUUUUUAAUUUCUGAGAAGCCAACACCCCCCCUUUAAAAGUUAGUCUGUUCCUCUCCUUCCAUAUAGUCCAGAGAAUGAAUAACGGGAUGGACUUCCACACUUUUUUUCUUUUUCUCCCCACAAAAGAGCCUCUCCAGCUACUAAGGACCUCCUUUACAGAAUUUGGAAAGACCCACUGUACACCACACAAUGCAAGAAUGAUGUUCCACAACCCUUUUGCCACUAUACAAUGUAUUAAUAUAUGAUUGAUCGUUUCCUCUUCGCACCCACACAAAAAACACCGAUUAGGUAAAUGCCACCCUCUUCUCUGCAGCCUAUCCAAAGUGAGGACCUUCCCCCAAGUAGCUUCCCAAGCAAAAAAGGCAAUUUUGGUUGGGACUUUGUCCACCCAAACAUUGCUAUGAGGGAAAUCCAGCCCUUGAGAAUUUACCAACACAUUAUACGCUUUCUUGACUUUAAACAACCCGUCCUCACCCUUCUUCCAAAAAACCGAAUCGUCUUCCACAUUUACACUAUAAUCCCUCAACUCAACUAAGAGAUUGCCCACCAAACCCAACUCCCAAUCAUUCAAAUCCCUUAACAGCCUUAAAUUCCACCCUCCUUGACCCACAUUCUGAUCCCAACAUUCCUCCACCGUGACAUUCCUAUGGGCAGCCAUGGAGAAGAGGUUCGGAAAGCCUUGGGACAGCACAUUGUUACCGCACCAAAGGUCAGUCCAAAACCUUAUUCUAUUGCCUUUUCCCACCUUGAACCCCAUAUUUUCCCAGCACCAAGUGGACUCCUUCAGAAUCUCCUUCCAAACUCCAACACCGAACGCCCCAUUUGCCUUCCUUGUCCUCCACCCAAGCUCCUCUUUCCCAUACUUAGCCUCAAGCACUUUUUUCCAAAGCUCCUCCUUAGCACACGCAAAUCUCCAAAUCCAUUUGCCUAGGAGAGCUUUGUUCAAUAGAGUAAUUUUCCUUAGCCCCAACCCUCCCUUAUCUUUAUCCGCGCACACCACCUCCCAUCUAACAAGAUGAACCUUACUCCCCCCAUUGGCUCCGCCUCACAAAAAAUCUUUUUGAAGCUUUUCAAUCCUUCUUGCCACUGAUUUAGGCAUACGGAAAACCGACAUUUGAUACACGGGGACGCUGGACAGUGUACUCUUUAUAAGAGUAAUUCUCCCACCUUUGGAUAGAUAUUGACGUUUCCAAAGGGCGAGCCUUCUCCUCAUUCUCUCCUCCACCCCAUCCCAAGCAGAGGAAGCCCUAUUUGGUGCCCCAAGGGGCAGCCCCAAGUAAACAGUAGGCAGCUGCCCCACCCUGCACCCAAUUUCAGCCGCCAUUUCCAUCACCCCUUCCACCCCCCCUACCGGAAUUACCUUACUUUUGUCCAAGUUAAUCUUUAACCCUGAGGCUGGUUCAAACCAAAAUAGGAUCCAGCCCAAAUACAAAAGAGCCUCUUUCUUAGCUUCGCAAAAAACAAUUGUGUCGUCCGCGAAUAGAAGAUGAGUAAUUUUAACAGCCUGCUCUCUACCUCUCCAUAUCCUGCAGCCCUGGAUGAAUCCCCCUUCAGCAGCCCUAGUGAUGAGCACACUUAGGACUUCCAUGCCCAUGAUAAAUAAGUAGGGGGAAAGGGGGUCCCCUUGCCUUAACCCUUUUGUGCUUGAGAAAAAACCAGCUGGGACCCCGUUCACCAGCACUGAGUAUUUGACAGUGGAGAUGCAAUUCCACAUCCAUCCUAUCCAUUUUGACCCAAAACCCAUCUUUUGCAUGACCUUUAGCAAGAAUUGCCAAUUGAUGCUAUCAUACGCCUUCUCAAUGUCCAAUUUACAAACUAUACCUUUCUCUCCCCUCUUUUGCCAAGAAUCUAUCACCUCAUUUGCGAUUAUGAAUUAGGUUUUUUGGAAUGGCUUGCCAUUCCUUAAGGGUUGGUGAGUGUGUUGUUCUUUUGUUUUUGCUUAGGCUGCUAUGUAUACUUCCUAUAUGCUUUGUGGCUUUUUGCCUCUUAAUAUAUUUGCGCUCACUUAUCUAAAAAAAAAUAAAUGAAAUUAUGAAUUAUUUUCCAAAUUGCAGCAGUUUGAUGUUGUCAUGGUUUAGAAGCAAAGAAUUGGUUAUAGACAGUGAUACUUUAGUAUCUUUGGAAUUUUUGAUAUCUCAAUCUCAGUUGAAUAAACCAUUUAUAUUGUGAGCAAAUUAUUACAUGUGGCAUUGAAUCUUGGAAUUUUUUGCCAUUCCAAAGUUAUUGCAAGACACAUGUAAAAUAAUAGAAAGAAGUCACUAAAUGUUCAGAGCACUAAUGUAUCUUCUGAGCAUCCUGUUCCAACAUUUCUUGAUUGUAAAAGUUUUGUGUAUUAAACUAAUGUUUGUCCCCAGUGUUUAGCAUCCCUUCAUUUUGUGUGUAUGAUUUCAUAUACAAUGUUUUAAAAGACUAUUAACGCUUAUGUCUUGAGGCUCACCUCUAGGUGAGGGUAUAGCCUCAGUUAGGGUAUUGAGGCUUAAGUCUCAUCUUGUCAAGGCUGAGCCUAGAGGCUGUUGAGGCAUAAGUCUGAAACAUUCAAAAGCUUUUUGAUAUAUAUUUUAUAAAAGGCUCAAAGCCUUAAUAUUCAAUGAGUUUUGGUGGGGGUCUUUUGAUACAAAUUUUAUAAGUUUUGCAUUGGUUUCAAUCUACAAUUAGACCUUGUACUGGGACCUCCUCAAUACCUACAGUUUAGAUGAGAUUAGAGUCAGUUUAGAAAAACCCGUAGCUGUUGGUUCGAUAGAAACUGGAGCUGUCAACUUAUGGCACUUCAAAGUGGAAUCUGCAUCUUUUUCUCUUUGUUUACAGAGGGAUUAGUGGAGUGUGCUUCGGUCUUGGUCUAGAGUGCUUCCUUCUGCGCCUUGGUUAGCCUCAGUUGAAUUUCAAUUAAUCUUUUAAAUAGAAGGGAAAAGGAAGAUUGAGAAAAAGAAAUUGGGGAAUUUUUGGCCACUAUAGCGGCCAAGCUUGUAUAUAAUCAUUAUCUUAUUAUUAAUAAAUAAUGAAAAAUACCACUACAAUUGAUGGAUGAAGCAGAAUGAGUGGACAUUAACACUAAUGAUGAGGAUAAUACAACAAUUUGAUAUGAUUAUAGAUCCUUGGAGGAUACCACAAUUGUAGUGAUGGUAAUGCUGAAGAUUAUUUAAUGAAAGCUAUGGGAGAGUUGGAUUUUAGAAGAGAAGAAAAAAGGAACUAAAUCAGAUAUUAUCAACAAUGGAAAACAAUUAAUUUUGUUAUUAUGAAUUUUAUGGGUUUCUUAUUACUUAAUUUUCAUGUGAUUUUAUUAGUUUUUUUUUCUCAUUAUGUUUAGAAUUAUUUAUUUAUUUAAAUCGAGCCUCAUGCCAUUCUAUCUCAAGACUUACACCUUGCCUCAUGUAGCAAAAACACCUUAAGACUACUUUUAGCUUUUUAAAACACUGCUCAUAUACAUGUGUAAUGCUUGAGCUACUAGAUUGUGCACCUCCUUGCUUUUUUGUAUUUCCAUAGUAUCUGUUGUAUGUGAUUAUAUUUAGUCAGUAUACACAUGUUGGAUCAUCAAAGUGCCAUCAUGUAUAUGAUUCUCAUAUCCAUGCAUUUCUAGUUCUAUCAUCUUGCCUCCUCGUAUUGUGUGUUGCCAUAGUAUCUGUUUAAUUCAAUAAUAAGCAUAGACUAUGCACAGAUUGGGUCAUCAAAUAUCACACCAUUAACUGAAGGAGUGUGGAUUUGAUGAGUUGACUCUUCUAUGUAUAUUCGAUUUUUAAAAAAUGCAUUAUUAGGAUCUAUUUUUGCAUGGGAAGAGUAGUUGGAAUUUGAAACAAAUGCAUUCAUAGGAAGUUAGUGGUAGCACAAGUAGAGGGCAUUGUCCUGGAAAAUCUUCUUCAAUGGUUUGUCAUGUGCAAUGAAGCCAUUUACCCAUAGGAGAGGUAAUUUUAAAUCCAAGGUGCUAUUAAGACAAUGGAAAGGUUGACAAGCAUUAGUCGUGCGAGAAAAACAAAAUGCAUUAUAUCUGGUCCUAGAUAGAGCGUACUGAUGAAAAUGGAUUUGUCUAGUUGGCUCCAGAUAGUUGGGCUUUUUUUGGUUAUGUUGAGUUGCAUUGCAUUAGUAAGAUCUGUAGAGCAUUACAGUUUAUCAGCUACCAGGUAGGUAAACAAUAAAUGAUGAGAGAAUUAAGAAACAAAUAGUUGGUAAUGAGAUUUGGAGGAACUGAGCUAUUGUAAUUUGGAAAGCAAAAUUUUUUUGUUCCUCUGAAUCAAGCUAAGUGGCAUAUGCUGACAAUGGAAAGGUUGACAAGCAUUAGUCAUGCGAGAAAAACAAAGUGCAUUAUAUCUGGUCCUAGAUAGAGCGUACUGAUGAAAAUGGAUUUGUCUAGUUGGCUCCAGAUAGUUGGGCUUUUUUUGGUUAUGUUGAGUUGCAUUGCAUUAGUAAGAUCUGUAGAGCAUUAUAGUUUAUCAGCUACCAGGUGGGUAAACAAAAAAUGAUGAGAGAAUUAAGAAACAAAUCGUUGGUAAUGAGAUUUGGAGGAACUGAGCUAUUGUAAUUUGGACAGCAAAAUUUUUUUGUUCCUCCGAAUCAAGCUAAGUGGCAUAUGCUGAGUUUAUUUGAGAAAAAUUGCUGACUUGGGGUGCUUUGCUGGAGUGCCUUGUUUUAAUAUAUUGCUUUUUACCCAUCAAAAGAAAAUUUGAGAAAAAUUGCUGACAAGUUGGGCUCAUCUUCAGCAUUUCAUGCCUAAUGAGGAGGUUGAGCUUGAGCUUCAUAUCAUACCAUAUGCCUCAGCCAAACCACUCUGCUUGGCUUCACAAAUUUACUUCAUGCCAUUAUAGUUGACACCAAUUCAGAAAAGUAUUCUAAUUGGCUAGCUAAGCUUUAACUGCCUUCAUGAGCGAUGCUGACUUGUUCCCUUCGUUGUUGUUUGGUAACAGGUACUUAUAUUGAUAAGAAAUGCCCCUUCACUGGCACUGUUUCUAUUAGGGGCCGCAUCUUAGCUGGCACUUGCCAUAGUGCCAAGAUGAUGAGGACCAUAAUUGUUCGAAGGAACUACCUUCACUAUGUGAAGAAAUACCAAAGGCAUGUUCCUCCAGUUAUAGUUGUGAAUGGGUAUUUUUACUUUCCCCAGAAUUUGCUUUUCAAGUAGUUGACCAUUUUUUCUUCUUUGCUGCAUUCAGAUAUGAGAAGAGGCACUCAAACAUUCCUGCUCACACAUCGCCAUGCUUCCGUGUGAAGGAAGGAGAUCAUGUUAUUAUUGGCCAGUGCAGGUAAAUCUUCAAUUGAAACUACCUCCAGUUUGUCCUUCCAAUAAAAAGUUGAUUUAGAGGGUGGUGAACUCUGUGUUUGUUACUGAACAUAAUGUUGUUUCUUUCUAUAUUUUCCUUAUUCAGGCCACUAUCAAAGACAGUAAGGUUCAACGUUUUGAAAGUGAUUCCUGCUGGAUCUUCUGGUGGAGGUGGGAAGAAGGCUUUUACUGCAAUGUGAAGUUUGGCUUCUAGUUGUCAGUGUCAAGGGUAAACAUCAUGGAGCUUGAGAGGGUUGGUUAUAUGAGAGUAGACCUUUGCAAUCUUGAACAGCUUCAAGAUUGAAAUAUUUUGAUGGAUUCUUUUUCUUUUUUCCUUAAAUUAAAUGUUGGAGUUUUUGAAGAUGCCCAAUGGCAUAUGGAUUACAAAUAGGAUGAAGAUCUAUGAUUUUUUGGAUUCCACAGAAUUAGUUGCCUCAUUUGUCAAGUGGCUCUUGGAUGAAUGUGAUUCCAAUUCUUGGAAAUGCAUGAAUGUUGGCACCUGGUUCUCACGGUGUCCUUCAAUGGCUGAGGACAGCUAUGAACAACAGACUACCCAGGGUUGCUAAUCUUGUCCAUUUGCAGCUGGAAACAGGGCAGGAAGUCCUUUGUUUUCCACCAGCAAUGAAUGGUUAGCCCAUUUUCAGAUGUACUUUUGAUGUGGAGGAGACAACGAGACAUUGUUUGGACUUUAUCACAGCUUGCACUGCAUGCACAUGCUCAUGUUUGUGCACAUGGAAUUCUGCUGGUAUUGUGUUCGUGUAGAAAAUAAUUUUGACCUAGUCACCAGCUGCACCAUAACCCUUCUAACCCCAUACUUCUCUGAUUCUCAAAACACUUGCUUAUCAUACCUUCAAUUUCAUCAGAAUUUGAUGGGAGUUAAAUCACUUGAAAUUAUUUCCGUUACUGAUACGCAAUUAUUUUGGCCCACUGUGAAUGGUAUGGAAUGCACUCAUCUCCAUGUGAAUACUGAUUGGGAGGUCUAGGUCUAGGUCUAGGUGUAGCUAGUUUGUGAUAAGGUUAGAACUUGGAAUUUGAAAAUAUGCCGAUGAGACAAGCAAGUCCGACAGGUUAAGAGAAGGUUCCUCCAAUUUAAUAGCCAUACGUAGGUAAAAUAUACAUACCUUUACCAAAACGCACCACUACAUUGGAUGUUUCCCACCCUUUUGAUUCUCCCCUUUUGACUCAUGGUUCAGCACUUUAUGAUGAAUACGCAAAUUCCUAUUGUUGCCACAUUUUUUUACUGUGGCAUGGUGUGGAAAAUGUGUGGCUCUCGCACCACUUUUCGUGUUGUUGACUCAAGAUUGAGAGGUUAUUAUUACUUGUUUGGCCAGCUCAUUUCCAGAAAUAAACAUUCACGAAUCGUGUUCACACCCUGUUCUGGGCCUUCUAGCGCUCCAAAAACAGGUCUUGUCUCCACAUUUGAUGACUCUCCUGCAGCAGCAGAAAUAGUUGACUCUGGCCACCAUCUUCCAUCAAAAUUCAUUUAUUAUGAGACAGAGGGUGAUUGAUGGCCAUUGAUUCUAUCUUAAUCUAAUGCAUUGUCAUUUAUCAUGGUCGCGAUCUGGCUGGAUAGUGGAUACUAAUAGCCAACCAUGAAAUCAUUUUGGUCAGACACUAUCCUUUUGUUAUUGGGUAUCUUCAGCUUUUGGUGAGGUUUGGUUGCGAAUUUGCUUAGACCAAGCCACUUUUGGCAUCUCGCCUUCAUUUUCUCACGCCCCAGAAGAAAAUGUUUUCUUAUUAAAACAGUUAUAAUCAAUAGGGUCCACACAAUUGGAAUUUCCUUUGGUAAAAGAAGGCCAUGAUUUGGUUAGAAGAAAGAAAGCAAAAAUUGUUUCCCCACCCUUCAUUUUCUUAAUGGGGCUGUUGGGGAUAUAUGUGGAGAGACAAUGUCCAAGAAUCAAUGGUUAAAACCUAAACAGAGCAAAAGCAUUGAGUGCAUUUAUGCCAAAAGGCAACUGUCUUCUUCACCAUUACCUGUAGUGACUUGUGACUUUGAUCGGAUAGUAUUAUGCCACGUCAUACUCCACCACGUUGGUCUUUCCUAUACCACGUGUCACUUUAGUCCUACCAAAUUGAGGAAAUAAAAAGAUUCCUUUUGAUUUGCCACCAAAUAAAUAACAAAAUAAUACAAAAUUGAGAAAAGUAUUCCCAUUCGUAGGGUUGGUCCCUCGUAUUCUAAUGACCCCAAGACAAAGUUGGAAUCUUAACAGCAAUUUAGGUUUUCCACUAUUCAAUUAAUUUCACGUGCCAUGGUUGCUAACUCGUAACUCGGUUACUCGACUCAACUCAAAAUCUGAACAACCAGGUUCAAUUAUUCUUAAUUUUUACAAAAUUAUUUUUAAAAUAUACUUUAAUGCUACCUCUAUUAGUAUGGACUUCUAAAGUAUACUCACUCUCAUAUACUUUAAUUUAUUUCUAAUUUGUAUGGUAUUUUAUGAGUUAACCCAUUGGAUUCACCUUGAAGAGGGGGUUGAGGUAACUCGGCCGGGUUUCUAUCAGGCAGUCCAAAUUUUGGAAGAUGGGCAGAAGACAAAGUGAAGAACAAUAAUAUAAGAAAAAGGUGGUGGUGGUGGUUUGUGAGGGCUGAGGGGGAGUUGCAGAAAGCCAUCAAAGUAAAACUUGAGCUAAGAAAGUGGGGAGGGAGAGAUAUUUUGAGAGAGAGAGAGAGAGAGAGAGAAGAUUAUGGGACGAGUAGCUUUUUUGUAGAAAGCAAAAAAGAGAAAUCUAAGGUCACCGUCUUCCACGGCAUUGCUCAUUGGCCCACUCUCCUCCACCCCACGUCUUUUCAUUCACACUAGCACCGUGAUUGCCCCCAAGACCUCAUUUUCAAAGGCCUGCUCACAUAAUUAUCCCUAAAAAUAUAGUAACAUCCACUGAUUGGACUUCCAGAUAUUCUUCUCCAACAUUUUUAAAAACACAUCGCCCUCUUUAUCUUUGUUUGUUGCAAAUUGCAAUUGCAUUAAUUUAAUCAGUUUUCAGGGUGAUGACAUCCCCCAAACAACACCUCAUUAUCACUUUGGAAAAUAAAAAAUCAAAAAAUAAAAAUGCCCAAAGAUACCAAACCCCUCAACUUGCAUAAAUAAUGGAAGGGAAGGGAAGGGAAGGGAAGAAGGGAUGGGAAUCCAAGCCUCUGAACCUUUAAAGGGUUUCUUUAUUCCACAACAAAUCUGCAAAUUUACAUGCUGUAGAUGGGUAAAAAGUAAAAACACAAGGGCAUUGGGGCACUGAUUUAAUUGGUUUUUCAGAUGUCCAUUACAUCCUAUAAUUGUAAAGCAAUCAUUGAAACUUCUUAAUCUCUGUUUGGAAUUUUCUCAUCAGCUCACCUACCUUUCUCAGAUAUUAUUAGAUAAGGCUAUAUAUGGUUGUACUUGUACCUUCUUCCCCAUGAAUUUAAAAUCAAUUCAAAGCAUUAGAUUGAAGGGGCAAAUUUUAUUUGUACUUAGCUUUCCUCUUCGUAUUUGCUUUUUCUUUCAAGACAAAUAAUCAUUGCUUCAAACUCAGACUGAAGUCUCAAUACAAUCAUAUUGAUUGGAUUUGUACCACGGUUUGAUUACAGGACUUCACUCCAAAAUUUUGGUAAAUUCAAAAGGAAAAUCAAGGGAAAUUUGAAAUUUCUCCUUGGAUUUCUUCAAAUAUCAAUUCAAUUAUACUUAGAUCUAAAAAGAUUAUCACAGAUCCCAACCCACAAAAAUAAAAUCAAAUAAAUUAAUACCAUGAAUUUUUAUUUUUUAUUUUUUUUAAAAAAACAUAGUGGGUAAUGAUGUCAUUCAAAUAUGCAGCCGGAUAUGACUAAGAUUUCAAAAUAAUAAUAUAAAUAAAUAAAUAAAAGAAAAAAAAAAAGUGUCACCAAACUUAUUUUCAGCCACGCUUUCGUAGAAAAAAAAUCUGGAAUUAACGGCUCUCUUUCUCUGUAAAACACUCUGUAGAUUUCCAUUUGUGAGGAGCUAUAAAAGAGAGCCACCAUUUGUCUGUCCAAGAAAGAUUUCCAACAUAUUCUGAGAAUCUUCCUCCCACAAUCCCAUUAUUUUUUCAGAGUCUCUCUGCUUCUUCUCAUAACUUGAGCGAUUCACCAUGUGUGUCAAGGACUCUGAACAGGUCUCUGAAGAAAUGGAGAAUUCUAGUCUAAGUGAUCAUGAUGCCACCAAGUUGGGUAAUUCAUUUCCGGUGAGAGUUUUAUUCAUUUGUUUGUUCGAAUUUUUGGAGUUUUUCGUUCUUGAAGACCCCUUUGGUGGGAGUAUGCUUGUGAGUGUUUGUUUUCUUUCCGGGAGAAAAGGUUGAUGUGGGUUUUUUUGUGUUUUUUGUUAUGUUUGGGUGCUCGGAAAAGAAUGGAAAAGAGAAAGGAAUUAAAAUUCGAAUAUUGAAGCAAGCGAGCAUAGGAUUAUUUUUAUUUCACUUUGUUGUUUUGCUUCUGUGGAAGACACAUUUGGUUGGAAUUGGUUUCUGGAUGUCUGUUUUUUCUAUGCGAAUGAUGAUCGAUAAGGUUUUUGUUUUAUGCUUUCCAAGAAAGAGUAGGAAAUGCAACUGGAAUUGGGUUUAGCUUGUUCAUAAAACCGGUUCCAAUUUUCGAUUUUCUCUUCUUUUCAUCUGUUUUUCGGCGACGAAACCGAGGUUAACUUUCCUGUGCUUAUAUAUAUAUUUUUCCCUUCCGUUUAGAAUUCCCUUCUUUUCUUUUCUUUUUCUGUGUGUGUGGCGAGACGAGAGGAGAAGGAAUCAUACAAUCCUCCUUUAUGCUCUGUUUGGCUGCUGAGAAAUGGGCAGAAAAAGAAUGGAAGUUGGAAGUUUUGAAUCUUAGAUUUUUAUUGAGGCGGAUUAUUCUAUUUCGGUCAUUGGUUUCUUCUGAAACCAAAAACAGUCCGGGAGCAUAUGAGUUUGUCCCUUUCUUUUCUUUCCAUCAGUUUCCUCAGCACCCUGAUGGAUUUUAUUUCCUUUAUCUGUGAUUAAGAUGCGUUCCUAUUUUUGUGAACUGUUCCUGGUAGAUGGAUGUUUAGCUUGAGUUGCUUACUGGCAGGUGGGAGAAACUAACCAUCUGUGAUUUAUUAUGCUGAAUUGACUAUUUGGUGUUGCUUUCAUAUUCAAUUGGACCGACAAGUCAUUGGUCGGAUUGUAUGGGUUAGGUGCUGGGAGAGGUUAGAAAUUCUAAACUCCUUAUAGGCAUUAAUGACAACGGGUUAAGGCGGCGCCCUUCCAAAACCUUUACCUUCAUUCUAAUUUUUUUUUCAUCAGUUCAGAUUAGGUUGAUGAGAUUAUGGAAUUUUCUUUUUCUUUUUUAUUUUUUUUCAGAGUAAGAACCAAAAUCAUGUAUUCUAUAUGAACAUUUUUUUCCCUCACUCUGAUUGCUUUCCCAAUUAAUUGGUGGCUAUCAAUUUGGACUUCAUUGAUCCCAUUGUGUUAAGCCUAUCUUCAUCCUUCCUGGUUUUUUUUCCUUUUCUGAAUUCUGUGGUUGCAUCUUUAUUGAAUCAGAUCCUUAUACUUUUCUGGUGGAAUUAAAUUUUCUUCUCAAAGCAUCUUAAACGGCCACUUCUAACUAACUGGUGGUUGGAGGAGGUGAUGGUGCAACUUCCUCUAAGCAGCCCUUGGCAUCCAUUGAGGCCGAGUACAAUUAUUUGAAUAUUUUAUUCGACUUUUUCCUUUUUACUCUCAGCCGACAUCUCACAGUUCAGUGAAACAUUAACUUAAUUCAACUCAAGAAAGCCUUAGCUAAAGAGGCUAAACCGAAUCUCUUUUUCACCAUUAUGCUCUGUCUGAGGUCGCGUUCAAUACAGCUAAAAAUGCUAAGUUAAGAGGGUUUUACACUGGUUGGAAGCAUAAGGUAGCAUGUUUUCCUCCGAGUCCUGGGAACAACUGUUUAAAUACAUCACACGCUAACCCUUAUAUCGACAGAGCUUGAUCAAUUCUUGUAUGCUGUUGGAAAUUUCGACUUCAAAUAGUUGCAAUUUAAGGCUCUUUGGUUACUGUUGUAGAAAUCCUGUGUCCAAAUGGCAGUACAGGAGAAAGAUGAGUUUAGGAACUGCGUUUGAUAUUUUAUACAGGCUCUCAAUUGAGGCUUUCUUUUGGUCACAUGGAACAAGCACUUGGGUUGCGUGGACCCAUAGACUUAGUCUCUGUCAUGCUGUGUAAACUAUUAUGUUUUGUUUGAGGCACUUUACUUAGAUUUCUCUUUACUGUUGGUGAUCGGUUUGUGUUACUCCUCAGUAACUUGAAUUUUUGUAGCAUAAUCGUAUUUAUUUCAUUUAUUGAGAUUGCACCUUCUUCCAGCCAAAGGUUAUACUGGUUGGUGAUUAGUAAAAUGAACGAUGACUAAUUCUCUUAAAAAAUUGUCUAUGAACUAGUCCGAUGAUUUACCACUUAAAAAUGAGUUAACUUAGUUUCAACAAUACAUCAAUAAAUAAAAGUAACUUUGUUCAUUUUCGGACUUAAUCUUAUCCUGUAACUUGUUUUUGCUUCCAGCUGCAAAGCAUUUCAGAAGAUAAAGUGGCUUCAGACAAAGAACAGAACCUGGUAUCCAUCUUUGUCCCUGCUCUUCGAUCAGGGGAGUGGUCUGAUAUUGGGGGUCGGCCCUAUAUGGAGGACACUCACAUAUGCAUCAGUGACCUGGCUAAGAAGUUCAAUCAUAAUUUGCUUGAUAAGGAAGCUAUAUCCUUCUAUGGUGUAAGUUCUUCACCCUAGUUAAGUUGAAUGUGUGUUGUUCCUGUUGUUUCAAUCUGUCACAUGCAUUUUUUGUUUUUUUAGCAUGAUCUCCUGCUAGAUUAUAAACAUGAAUCCUUCUUUCUUGAUGAACUCUUUUGUAUGAAAACAAAAAUAUGGAGAUUUUCAGUUCUGGCACUAAUUUGACGGGAUUAUUCAGCAUAGCUUGCCUACUUGGAAAUGCAUAGCAGGCUUAGGGGUCACACACUGAAGUCAUAGGGAGAAAUGCUGUGGUUUCUGUUUUCCUUUUCUAAUUUCUAAUUGUCAGUUUAAACUAUAAUGUUUGGUUGAAGGGGUCUUUAAAAUUUUAAAUAAAUUGGAACUUUCUUGUUGCUUCUAGGCAUGUUUGGAGGUUGAUAGACCUUGUCUUUUAUAGGAAAUGAAAUCUAGAGAAAUUCAAAAGUUGAUAAACCUAAAAUAUCAUGUGGAUGAGAAUUAGCUACCUUUGUUCUGUCCUUGGUAAUUUCGAGUUAUAGCUUGUUGAUCAGAUAGCUGCAUCUUGUUCUAGUUUGGGAGUGACCAAGGAUGGAAAUAACCUGAAUAUAGUUGGAUGUAGAAGCAUUUCAUUAAUCCUUUCUUUUGGUACGAGGUACAUGACAGCCAUGAAAUUGACAUUGCAAAUAAAUAUAAUUGUGGUUUUAUCAGCGCAAGCCUUAGAACUAUGUUGUUUCACAAGCUGUCGGAAAAGGAGCAAAAUAUAUGUUUGUAUGACUAAGACCCUAGCACUCUGAUUUGAAAUAGAAGGUUUAGUUUUUGAUAUCUGCCUGCCAAACAGUAAUUUAAUGGAAUCACUUUUAAGCAUGGAAAAAAAAUAGAGAAAAAGUGGAAAAGAUAAGAAUGCUAGACUAAAGGAGUAAAAUUGCAGAUGUUUGACUCAGCUCUAGGAAUCUAAAAUAGCAAUGGUUUUGAAUAACAGGUAUUUGAUGGUCAUGGAGGAAAUGCUGCAGCGCAGUUUGUCCGUGACCACUUGCCAAGGGUCAUUGUCGAGGACGCUGAUUUCCCCUUAGCACUGGAGAAGGUAGUUAUGAGGUCAUUUAUAGAGACAGAUGCUGAAUUCGCAAAGACAUGCUCUCUUGAGUCUUCCCUGUCUUCUGGCACAACUGCACUUACAGCGAUGAUAUUUGGGAGGUAAGCUUCUCCCAUCAUUCAGUGCUAUUUGGAUUUUUUCUUUCUUUAUAGUUGGGAUUCCUUAUGCAAUUAUGUGAUCAAAUAAUCUAUGGCCAUUAAAUAAAGUAGAGUUGCAGUUGUGCAACCUGUAAAAGGGUGUAAAGGUGGAUUGCUGAGUUGAGAAAAACUGAAUCAAUUGAAGAAGAGCAUGAUGACAACCAAAAACCUUCACACCUUUCGGAAUUGUUGAAUCAUUUCCAAUGGUGCAUCUGUUUGCUUCCUCUCAUGGAAAUUUUUUUUAAGAAUGAAGUGAAGGUCUUUUUUCCAAUGACUGUUCUUUGGUUGGCGUGAAUUUGUGAAGUUAACUUUUUCUGUGAUGAUAAUACCGUACAUUGUGCCAUGCAUUAUAGAUUCUAUUCUGGGCAGGUCUUUGCUUGUGGCAAAUGCUGGGGAUUGCCGGGCAGUGCUGUCACAGCUCGGAGUGGCUAUAGAAAUGUCGAAAGAUCACAGGCCAUGCUGCACAAGAGAAAGGAGCAGGAUUGAGUCCCUGGGUGGAUACAUUGAUGAUGGGUAUCUAAAUGGUCAGAUAUCCGUCACCCGUGCGCUUGGUGAUUGGCACCUUGAAGGACUGAAAGAUAUUGGUGAAAGGGGUGGACCUUUGAGUGCUGAACCAGAACUUAAACUAAUGACACUAACCAAAGAACAUGAGUUCUUAAUCAUAGGCAGUGACGGAAUCUGGGAGGUGUUUAGGAGCCAAAAUGCAGUAGAUUUUGUCCGGAGGAGACUCCAAGAGCACAACGAUGUGAAGCUAUGCUGCAAGGAAGUAGUUGAGGAAGCAAUUAAGCGUGGAGCAACAGACAAUCUCACGGUUGUGGUAGUGAGUUUUCACUCUGAGCCACCACCACUGAAGGAGGUGGUACGAAGGGCAAGAGUGACAAGAAGCAUUUCAGCAGAGGGGCUUCAAAAUCUCAGAUCUCUGUUAGAAGGAUAGAAGUUUAUUUCACUUAUUUUUAAGUGAAGGAGAGAACCAAUUGAAUAAUUAAUCACGUAGCUAAUAAGCGGAUAUUUGGUAGAGGCCUGCUUGUAUAUACAUUCAUUCGGGAAGUAGAUGAUAGAAACUGCAUCUUCUUUCUUCUUUACCACUGGAGCUCCAUUUGAUUUUCAGAAAGAUGAUGUUUGUAAUGAUUUCUCUCUUGCUGUCUUAUUGACAAUCAAAUGGAGCUUUAGAAUGGUUGAAGGGAGAUGAGUCAUUCCAAAGUGCAGGGGAGUGGGGGACUUUGAUCUGUAAACGGUUGUGAUUCUAGAACUGUAUGUAUAAUCCCUUCUUGGUCAUAUAAAAAUGUGUACAUAUUCAGUACCCUUCGACAAUAUAAACAUUUUUAUUCCUCUUUUUUCGGUUUAGGUUGAGUGGGGCGCAUUUGUAAUUCAGCAGCUCAAAAGGUGGAAUGUGAUUCACAGGUGCAAGGGUAAGUUGUUUGACCGCAUAUUAGCAGCUCAUACCCUGAACAAUCAACUGUCCCAAUGCGUGGUGUGUUCAAGGUUGCAGUUGAUUCAGCAAGUCUUCCAAAUCAAAGCAAAGAGGGCCCAGAAAGAGUAUGUAAAUCCCAACAUGCAUUUGUGUGCAUUUCUCAUAAUCAUACAAAAGAUGGAACCAUUUCAUUGCAAAUCCAAUUGCUCAAUACACAUAUCAGAUUUUCUGAAGAAGCAGUAGAAAGAGUGGAGCACAUUACUAUUGAAUUCCCUUCUUUCCCUUUCAUCGCCAUCUUAACAAUAAAAUAUUCUAAUAGUCGCAGAGGCACAAUUGAAGCAAGCAAAAUUCUCAAAAAUUCUAAUAACAGGUUUUCGUUUUUAAAUGUAAAACAUGGCACAAUGUAGCAAUGGAGGUGAAAAGCUAAUACCCUUUUUUGCCUUCCACAUUGCGAAAUGGUAGCACAAGCAGCUUCACCCAGUCCCCACUGCAUAAAUGUUGAUAAAAAGAAUCUAAGCAGAACCGGUCCCAUGUUCUCCAAUAAUGAGAACCAGCAUAAAGUUCAAAGCAUCAACAGAUGAGAUUUGGUGCCUCAUUGUCUCAUCACAUGACACCCGCAUGCAUACAUACACCAUUAGACUGCAAGGUCAGAAGCGCAGUGACUUGACUCAUUCUUCCUUCUCCAUUGUCAAAUUUCAGUGGCACCAUUCUGGUGACUAUUAAUCUCUGGCUUUAUACUUCAAGUUGGCAGUACUCUGCUACAGGACACAAUGAUAACUAGGCUGUUUUUCACAUGAGAUGCCCUUUACAAGAUCUCGGCAAACUAUAGGUAUAUCUGAGCACUUUUUGAAAGUCUUGGGACAUAUGCUCAAAACCUGCCAUUUAAGUCAUAGUUAGCUAGUUGUAAUUACUAUAUUUUGAGAAAAGUGUGAUCACCUAUGAACUUUGUUCCAAAUAUGGAAGCUAAUGGCCUGUUUAGCAACUGUUUUUUAGAACAGUUUUUUGUUCUUCGGAACAAAAAAUCAGAAAAACACGUUUGACAAUAAAAAACUGUUUGUUGUUCUAAAGAACAAAAAACAAGGUGUUUUCAAAUAACUUUAUUUAAUUGUUUUCUGUUAUUUUUAGUUGUUUUCUAAGGGUUGUUUUAAAAAAAUAAUUAUACAAAUAUGCAAAAUGAUUAAAAAUAAAACACUAGAAAUAAAACUUAUUUUAAAAAUAUUAAAAAUAGGUCAAAUACAUUUUAGUUUUUCAAACAAACUUUUAUUCUACAAAACAUCAUAAAAUAGUUUUCAAAAAUUGUUUUAAAAAAUAUUUUAGAAUAGUUUUCGAAAACAGUUAUCAAACAAACCCUAAGAAUCAGACAAAAGUCUGUAAUUGAUUAAAAAUAAAUAAAUAAAUAAAUAAAGUAAAAACAAAUAAUUAAAAAUUAAAAUUAAAAAAAUAAAAACCAAGAAGAAGAAAAAGAAAAAACAUUGAAAGGAGAGCUAUGAAAAUUCUAUAUUUAGAAAAAGAAAAAAUGUACAUAUGGAACACAUGCAAAUUCUGGGAAUAACAAAGCGGAAGCAGAAAAAAAGUGCAGAAACUUUGCUAAAUUUACCUUUCUCAUGAUUUAAAGAUGAGUGUGGCCGAUCAGUUCUGUUCCAUAACCUGUGUUCAUAUAUACCACCCUACACAAACAAAACCAAACCAUCAUUAACUGCACCAGUUUUACUACCUGGGUCAGCCAAGAAAAAAACAGAUUGGUUGGGAAUGCUCCAGCCUCUGGAGCAAGAAAAUAGGGAAACAAAAUGAAAAGCACAAACCCAGCACAAAAAACAGAAAUUGCACAACUAAACUACAAAAGGAAGGCCCUAAAGAACUGGGAAGAGCUCAAGACACAAACAGAGAGUAUUAGAGAGAUAUCCUUAUUUCUAGGGAAAGAAUGCUCCACCAGCUCAAAAGCCCUACUCUAUUUCAAUAGAGGAGCUGUCUUCCAUAAUAUCCUCUUACCUUCCUAACAACCUCCCAUGACGCCUCUUAAAAAUCUCCAUUCACCAUUGCGACCCUACGAAAAGAAAAAAAAGAGAGCAAACACCAGCUACAAUGGAGAAGAGGAUAAUUCACUGUUUCCUCUACUUCUCCACACAAACAGCAUUUAAUUAUUAACUGUGAGUAUACUGCUUGAAAAGCCUGCUCAAAAAAAAAAAAAAAAAAAGAAACCUUCGAAAGGACCAAACUACACCAAGCUUUUCUCCAGGCAUACCACACCUCCUGCACAGAAGAUAAAAAAAACUUCUUCACAUAAACCUCCCUCAUUCAGAACCCUUCCAACACAAUAUAUCCUCAUUAACUGUUGAGAAUCUCAAUCAUAUCAGAAUUUUUCUGAUCUGGUUGUUACUUAUUUUUUAGGGAUAAUCCGGGAAUAAUUUGUUGUUGUUUUUUAGGGUUAAGUUGUAUAUUUUAAAUUUAUUUUGUUCCUAGAAAUUUGGGUGUACAACUAUAGAUUUAGUUUGAUUUCUUGUAACUUUUCUAUAAAAGGAAGCAUGUUUCCCUUCCUUAUUCAAUUUAAUAUACGACAUUUUUUUUUCUUUUCUACAUGGUAUCAGAGCCAAGUUAAUUGACUAUUCCCUUUCUUUUUCCUCUCAUUCUUUCCAGUUCUGUUCUUCUUCCCUUUUUGUUUCUAUUGCUAUCUCUUUACCAUGUCAGAAAUUUCCGAAUCUACUCCUUCCAUUACUGUUGGUUUCAAUUCCUCAAAAUUACCCACAUCCAAUUCUCACUCCCACUCUGUCCAAAUCACCACAAUCUGCCUUAAUGAGAACAAUUUUCUCAAAUGGUCACAAUUUGUUCAGAUGUACAUUAGGGGCCGAGGCAAAAUUGGUUAUUUGAUUGGUGACACCAAAGAACCAGCGAAGACAGACCUUAGCUAUGCCACUUGGGAUGCGGAAAAUUCCAUGAUCAUGACAUGAUUGGUAAAUUCCAUGGAGGAGGAGAUUAGCUCAAAUUAUAUGUGUUAUCCUAUUGCCAAAGCUCUUUGGGACAACAUUAUUCAGAUGUAUUCAGACCUUGGAAAUCAGUCCCAAAUCUAUGAGUUACAACUCAAACUAGGCGAUAUUUGUCAAGGUGAGAAUUCGGUUACCAAAUAUUUUAAUGUGCUUAGGGGUUUAUGGUAGGAUCUUGACUUAUUCAAUGACUAUGAGUGGAAAAAUACGGAUGAUUUUAACUAUUUUAAGAAGAUGGUAGAAAGUUCACAGAUAUUCAAAUUUUUACUUGGGCUUAAUAUUGAGUUUGAUUAAGUUCGGGGUAGAAUCAUUGGUUGGCAACCUCUCCCUUUUCUAGGUGAAGUGUUUUCCUAAGUGCGUCAUGAGGAAAGCCAGAGGAAUGUUAUGCUUGGGAAGAAGCUCCUUAGACCUGUGGAAAACUCAACCUUGUUGAGCACUACAACAGUGACUUCUCGCAAUCCUAAUAACCGAUGUUGUCAGGAUGACAAGCUAAGAGUUUGGUGUGAUCAUUGUAAUAAACCACGCCACACUCGUGAAACCUACUAGAAAUUACAUGGAAAGCCAACUAAUUGGAAGCCCGUUGAAUGGAAGACUAAUAAGCAAGGCGACUAUAAUCGUUUCCCUGCAAAAGCACAUGCUACCGAGACACCCUCAUUGAGCAAAGAACAAUUAGACCAACUGCUACAGCUGCUAAAACCUGCUCUGCCAACUCCUGGUACUCCUAUAGCAUCUCUAGCUUAGUCAGGUAGUCUUUCGUGUGCAUAUUCUCUUUCAUUAUCUGUACCUUGGAUCAUAGAUUCAGGCGCAUUUGACCACAUGACUAAUUUAUCUCAUUUGUUUAUUUUUUAUACCUUGUUCUGGAAAUAAAAAAAAGUACGUAUUGCAAAUGGAAGCUUAUCUUCUAUUGUUGGGCAAGGCUCUAUCCGUUUGUCUGAUAAGAUUGUUUUACAAUAUGUUUUACAUGUCCCAAAAAUCUCUUGUAAUCUCUUAUCCAUAAGUCGUUUAUCUAAGGAUUCUAAUUGUCGUGUUGUUUUUUGUGCCUCUCUUUGUGAAUUUUAGGAUUUGAACUCGGGGAUGAUGAUUGGCUAUGCUAGAUUGAUUAACAAUCUCUACUAUUUUGAUGAUAACCGGUUUGAGAAUAAACAAGCUCAAGGUUUUAUUAGUUGUGUUCGUUCAAUCCCUGUGCAUGAUCAAAUAAUGCUAUGGCAUAACAGACUAGGACAUCCUAGUUUUUUCUAUUUAAAACAUUUGUUUCCAAGUUUAUUUAAAGGAAUGGAUUGUACUUCUUUUGAUUGUGAAACUUGUUUAUAAAAUAAAAGCCUUUUUAUUUGAUACAUCGUGAUGUUUGGGUCCUUCUAGGAUUACUACUUUAACUGGGAAAAAAUGGUUUGUGACAUUUAUUGAUGAUCACACACGCCUAUGCUGACUUUAUCUGAUGAACUCUAAUUCUGAGGUUGCAAAACUCUUUCAGGAUUUUUAUUCUAUGGUUGAAAACCAAUUUCAAACCAAAAUAAAUAUUCGUUGGAGCGACAAUGGAACAAAAUUUUAUAAUGAUUGUUUAGGUGAUUUUUUUGCUAAAGAAAAGUAUUUUACAUCAAUCAACUUGCAGGGACACUCCUCAACAAAAUGGAAUUGCAGAAUGUAAAAACAGACAUUUACUUGAAGUAGGUAGAGCUCUUAUGUUUUAUAUGAAUGUUCCUACACACCUUUGGGGGAAUGCAAUUUUAACAAGUUGUCAUUUGAUUAAUAGAAUGCCUACAAGGGUUCUAAACUAUGCAACACAUUUACAAACUCUUAAGAAUACUUUUCCAAACACAUGCCUCACCUCGGAUUUACCCUUAAAAAACUUUGGUUGUACAGAGUUUGUCCAUGUGCCAACUCAUUUUCGAUCCAAAUUUGAUCCAAGAACCAAAAAAUGUAUUUUUCUAGGUUAUACUCCUAAUAAAAAAGGGUAUAAGUGUUUUAAUCCUACCACUAGGAAAAUUCAUGUUAGUAUGGAUGUCAACUUUAUUGAAAAUAUUCCCUUUUAUAACAAAACUACUCUUCGGGGGGGCGCUCUAAUGAAGAUCGGUUUUGGCAACAAGAACAACCAAAACCUAGUUUUUUUUUUUCCUGAAAUAAAUCAAAAAACAGAUGUUUUAAUUAGUGAAAAAGGAGGAAAUACUGAUUUAUCUAUGCCAAACAAAAUUGCAUCACAAACAGGGGGAGAAACUCUACAACCUAUGUCCACUGAGUUCCAUGUUUAUAUUAGGCGCAAAUUUAUUUCUAAUACUGAGAAUAAUCAAGUCAAUCUCGAGCAUGGUCAAUCAUCAGCUCCUAGUUCUCAAAAUCCAGGUAAUCUUCCUAUGGACUCCACUCCUUUACCUAUUUCUGAUCUUGAUAUUCCUACUACAAUCCGAAAAAGAGUUAGGAAUUGUACCAAAUAUCCCAUUGCCAAAUAUCUAUCUUAUCAAAGACUCUCAGGAAAAUAUAGAACUUUCACUUCAAAUAUCUCUCACUUAUUCAUUCCAAGAACUAUACAAGAAGCACUAAGACACUCAGAGUGGGGAUCAGCAGUUCAAGAAGAAAUGAAUGCUCUUUUGAAAAAUAGAACAUGGGAAAUUGUUGAUUUACCUAAGGAGAAGAAGACAGUGAAAUGCAAGUGGGCUUUCACAAUCAAGUGUAAGCCCAAUGGUAGCAUUGAAAGAUAUAAAGCAAGGUUAGUAGCCAAAGGUUUCACACAAACCUAUGGAAUUGACUACCAAGAGACCUUUGCACCUGUUGCAAGGAUCAAUUCCAUUCGGAUUUUGCUUUCUCUUACAGUACAUUUUAAUUGGCCUUUACACCAAUUAGAUGUGAAAAACGCUUUCUUAAAUGGUGAUUUUGGAGGAAGAAGUGUUUAUGGAUUUACCAUCGGCUUCCGAAGAAAAGCUAGAAAAAAAAAAAGGUUUGCAGAUUAAAUAAGUCCUUGUAUGGUCUUAAGCAGUCUCCUAGGGCUUGAUUUGAGAGAUUUGGAAAAGUAAUCAAGCUUCGAGGAUAUAUUCAAAGUCAAGUUGACCAUACAAUGUUUUAUAAAUACUCAAGAAAAGGAAAGAUUGUUGUGUUGAUAGUUUAUGUGGAUGACAUUAUUCUAACUGGUGAUGAUAGUCUAGAAAUUGAGAGAUUGAAGAAAGCUUUAACUUGUGAAUUUGAGAUAAAAGAUUUGGGUCCCCUGAGAUACUUUCUUGGUAUGGAGUUUGCUAGAUCCAAGAAAGGUAUUUUCAUUUCUCAAAGAAAAUAUAUACUUGACUUAUUAAAUGAAACAGGUUUACUUGAAUGUAAGGCUAUAGAAACUCCUAUAGAACCAAAUUUGAAACUCCAACCAGCAAGUCCAGUAGAGGUGAUUGACAAAGAGAAAUAUCAAUGCCUAAUUGGGAUACUUAUUUAUCUCUCUCAUACUUGUCCCAAUAUUGCUUUUGCAGUAAGCAUGGUUAGUCAAUUCAUGCACUCACCAAAUCAAGGACACUUUGAUGCAACGUACAGAAUUUUAAGGUACUUAAAGGGGACUCCAGGAAAAGGACUUCCAUAUGAGAACCAAGGACAUCUCCAAGUGGGUGUGUUUACUGAUGCAGAUUGGGCAGGAAGUGUAAUUGAUAGGAGAUCAACUUCAGGGUAUUGUACUUUUGUUGGAGGCAAUCUUGUGACUUGGCGGAGUAAAAAGCAGAGUAUUGUGGCUAGAAGUAGUGCUGAAGCUGAGUUUAGAGUCGUAGCCCAUGACAUUUGUGAAGUUUUGUGGAUUAAACAAUCACUUGAAGAACUUAAGGUUGCUAGCCCUUUACCUAUGAAGGUCUUUUGUGAUAAUAAAGACGUCAUUGCCAUUGCACUUAAUGCAGUCCUCCAUGAUAGAACUAAACAUGUCGAGGUUGAUAAACAUUUUAUCAAGGAGAAAUUGGAAAAUAGACUGAUUGUUAUGCCCUAUAUACCUACGGUUGAACAAGUUGCAAAUAUACUCACUAAGGGAUUGCCAAAGAAGCAGUUUGAUGAUUUUGUAAGCAAGCUGGCCAUGAAUGACAUCUUCAAGCCAGCUUAAGGGGGAGUGUUGAAAAUCUCAAUCAUAUCAGAAUUUUUCUGAUCUGGUUGUUACCUAUUUUUUAGGGAUAAUUUGUUGCUGUUUUUUAGGGAUAGGCUGUAUAUUUUAAAUUUAUUUUGUUCCUAGAAAUUUGGGUGUAUAGUUAUAGAUUUAAUUUGAUUUGUUGUAACUUCACUAUAAAAGGAAGCAUGUUUACCUUCCUUACUCAAUUUAAUAUACGACAUUUUUUUUUUCUUUUCUACAUUAACCUUUUCCUAAAUCGCUUGAUACCAAAGGCAUAAGAAAUUAUCAGUAGACUCCAUCUCCAGUUUGCAUACAAGGCUCAUCUGCCGGAGCUUCCCCAACAUGCCCUGGUUUUGGCCAAGGUCGAACAAACCUAAUAUCAAGGCUUGAGCAAAAACGACUACUACAGCUUCACUUACCCAAAUCUCUACAAACAGAGUGAUAAAGGAGUCAUCCUCCUCCACACCCUGUGAGUGUUGAAGACUUUUUUCUAAGUUUCUCCACAACUUCAAUCUUCAAAUUUUAUUCUAACAACCCUAAUUAUAACUGUGGCUACAGAUGUCAGUCUUCAAAGUUUAUUGGUAAAAAAAAUAACAUGUUUCAUUUCCAUCCGUAAUCCCAAGGAUCAAACAAAGGGAACUGUCCAUGUUGCAAUCAGUUAAGGAUUCCCAAAAAAACUUAACUGAAUAAAUUGAUUACUGAGAAAUAAAUUGCACAAUAGAUUCAAGACAAUUUUUGCAAAAAGACCAGGUGUGCACUGUACAUUUCACCAAUAUUCUAUGUUCUCAGUGGAACUGCCAAUAUCAUUCUUCUGGACAAUGCAACUGCUGCAAAUAAUUGGAGAUAAAUAACCCAAAGAACCAUGUGAAUGCAAAAUGCUCCACAUUUAUUGUCACAAAGUAAGACUACAUAAAUAACAAAAAGCUAUAUUUUUUUGGGGAAAAAAGGCUGGAAUGCAAUUUAAGAAUUAUAAAUUACCUUCAACAAAUUCACUAAUUCCAUAUCUUUUCAAUAAUUAGUUAAAUAAUUGCUUCUUUUUUUUUUUUUGAUAGGCAAAAAAUAAUUUAUAAAAAAGGGGGCAGAAUCCAAAUACAUAGGAAGUAUGCAAAGGUCAACAAAGGUUGGGAAACAAGUAAAGGAAACACACUAAUGCAACCCCACCCAACCCACAAAAUCAUACACGGAUAAGCAUCCCCUCCCACACAAAAUCUGAACCAAAAAAGGAAUGUCUAAAUAAAAGAAACCUUUAACAAUUAAAUCAACUUCUCCUCUCUCUGUUUUGUUGCCUUUUUGGUACUGGUGUAUGCUCCUUGUAUACUUUGGUGCACCCUCUUUUGAUUAGUGUUGUUAAUAAUAUUCUUAUUUUCCUAUCAAAAAGAAAAAAAUAAAGAAAGAAAAAAAAACAAUUAAAUCAAUGUCUCCACACCUUAAAAGUUCUUUGGUUUCUCUCCUACCAAAUAAUCCAUAACAAAUAUAAUGGGACUAACCUCCAAGAUUUCUAUGUUUUUCCCCAAAAAAAAUCUUUGUGCCAUCCUAACAAGACAUCUGACCAAUAUUCUCUGUUUUAAUUGAAAUUGUUUUGAUUUUAUAAAAAUCAAGAAAAACCACAAAGAGGAUAACUAUGGUGUGUAGUAUCUGGAUGUCAUACUCUGGGACCAACAUAGUUGACUACUAAUGUAUUGUCUAUAAUAUUCAAAAGGCUAGCUUUAAAUCUAACAGAAUAAUUUCAUAUCAAAAAAUCAAAUUAUGAUGAAAAUUUGUUUUAAGUCAAAUCUAUAACUAAAGCUCUGAAGUUUUCACAAUCCAGCUUUGGACCCAGGACGCGGGAGAGAGCAAUAUCUAAAUCCAAGGUUUAGGAUCCAAGGUAUAUUCAAGAUUGAAUUAAGUCUAGAGAACAAUUCGCAUCCAAAAUGAGGAAACGGCAAACCACAUCCUAAUUCAUUGUGGUAAGACAAGGGAUCUUUGGAACUUAUUGUUUUCUUCGUUUGGGGUGGUGUGGGUGCUCCCGGAUUCAGUGAGAAAUUUGCUUCUUGAGUGGAAAAUGAAAGGCAUGGGGAAGAAAAGGAGUGUAGUUUGGAAAAUGGCGCCUAUUUGUUUGUUUUGGUGUAUUUGGGGAGAGCGAAAUUGAAGAACCUUCCUAGAGGAAGAGAUGACAAAUACGAGCUUGAGGAAACUUUUUCUUCGGUCCCUGCUUGAAUGGUCUCAACAAUUUGUGGACUUGGAUUUGGACUAUCUAUCUUUUCGGAAUUUGAUGGGUGAUAGGGUUGUUGCUUAGCUAAUCCUUUUUAGACUUUAUUUUUCUCUUGUUGCCUUGUUUUGGGCCUUCUUUGUAUACAGCUUGUGUACUUAGGGAGCACCCCCUGUUUUCUGGCGUUUUUUAAUCUAAUGGUUCUCUUUGUCUAUCAAAAAAAAAAUUCGCAUCCAAAACCUAAAUUGAUUCUUUUAUAUUCUAAUCACUAAAUCAAAUUGACAAAUCGAUUAGGUCUUAUGUUCAUUCAUUCAAGUCAUUAGUCCAUCUUGUAGAUUUAGCUUUGGACUUAAAUCCCAAUAGAUAAAACUAAGUUAACUAGUAAUCAAGUGGUGUCUAAGUACCACUAGUACCUCAAAAAACAUCUAAUAUAUCUUAUCUAAUUAAAACCACACAGAGAGUUUCCAUUCCUUCAUAUUUAAACAUUAAAACCCUAAUCUACCAAUCUAACCUUACCAUACUGAAUUGCUCCUCCUUGUCAUCCUCCACCUUCAUGAUAUAUCUCCAAAAUUAAGGGGUUUAGCCUCUCGUGGAUGAGCUUUAACACAAAGAUUCCAAAAGAGAAAAUAAGAAAUCUAAUAUUGAAAUUUAAAGAGCAAAGAGUCUCCAACAUACAAAGCAAAAUCAAACAAAGAAUGAAAAAACUUCUUUCUAACCUAACAGUGAAGAGUAUUAAUAUCCUAAUAGCAUAUUCCCAUGGCCACUUAAACCAAAAUAAUGUUAAAAAACCCUAAAUUACAAAAAUAAUCUUCGAAAGCAGAAUUUUCUAUUUGAACUUACAAGGAAUCUAAUGAAAUUGAUUUCAAGAUAUUAAAAUAAAAAAUUUCGAUGCAGAAUCAAUUUCUCCAUCAUGCUGAAACCAUCAAAUCAGUUUGAACCACUCCCAAAUCAGUAUUUCAAUGUGAUACACUGACUUCCCUUUAACAUACUUUCCCCAAAUUGAUUUCAAAUCGGUUAAACCGAUUUCAUGCAUUGGUAUGAGAUGAAUCGGUCUUCCUAAAAUCAAUUUCCUCUCCUGAAAUUGGUUUCUCUGAUCUCCAAACUGAUUUCCCAUACAUUUUGUGACUUCCUGCAUUUUCUCCACUUUGGCACACUGCAGCAACCACCAGGCCUCCUCACAAGCAAACUCGUACCACCAUUCCACCGCACAUGCUUAGACCUGCAUCAAAUAUCUCUUAUUUUCUCCAUUUUCUGCCCUUUUACUAAAAAAUAAUGCAUUACUCCUCGAGGUGGGCACUAGCACCAAUCUAAGCUAAAGGUAGUGGUUUGACCCGGUCCCAUGCCUAAAAGACAGUAAUAUUUUUAUAAGCAUACACAAUUAUUAAUAUCUGUAUGGUGGUGGAGUCUCCUUUUACUUUGAUCAGGUUUUGUAUUCUAUGAGAAGUAUCUCUCAUCCUUCUCUCUUUCUUUUAUCAAUAAAAUUGAUCUUUGUUUCUAAUAAAAUAUAUAUAUAUAUAUAUCUUUAUAAGCAUAGAUCUUGGCACAAAUCAACAUAUUUCACAUUAAAAGCAACAUAAAUCAACAUAUUUCACACUAAAGCAACACCCAUGACACAUUAAAGAGUGAGAACAAUAGGUACCAGAGACUAUGAGUUGCAUGCACCACAAUGAAGAAGGAUAUGAUUGGUUCAUUCCUCCUAACUCUUGCACAAGCAACACCAGUUAGCUAUAGCCCACCUCUCCUCCUUAGCUGGUCUAAUGCCAUAAUUUUUCCCCAAACCACCUCCCAAGUAAAGAAACCCACCUUAUGAGGAUCCUGAGAAACUCAAACUUCUUUGAUUAGAAAAGGAUCUUUAGUAACUAACUCCAAAGAACUGUAGCAGGGUUUUCCAAAGAACUUCCAAUCCUUAUUCAAUUUCCAAACCAACUUGUCCUGGCACUCUUUUUGAACAAACAUGUCUUAAAUUUACUUAAGGAAAGUUUCAACCAUUUCUAUCACCCAAUCUUGAACAUUUCUGAGAAAACAAGGGCUCUAAUGUCCAACACCUCCCACCUCCUCCCAAAGUCCUGUUAGCCAAGCAUCCAUAGAACUGGCAAUGAACUACAAAGCAGGAUACAAGGCUCUCAAAGAAAAAAAAGAGGGGGGGAAAAUCACCACAACACAGGUCAUGUCAAAACCUAACUCUCCAAUGGUCCUACCAUUGCAUACUUCAAAACUAUUCCUAGCCUGAAACUUUGCCUGCCUCUCCUUCCAUAGCCCCACCCCAUACCCUUUCCUCUCUUCACAAGAACACCACCCACCCAUCCUUUCAUCAAACUUAUGUGAGAUCACUCAUCUCCACAAGCUAUCCCACUCCAGAGAAAACAUCCAACAGCAUUUUCCAAGGACCUUGUCAAGUAGCGACAAAUCAGUCAACCAAUUAACUAAAUGAAGUUUUUCAUCCAAAGAGCAAACCCUCUAAAGGAAGUCCUCUGAGCCUUUUCCAAUCUUAAACUCAUCUUUGUUGGGAUAACAAAGGUAGGCAUGAAGUAGACAACCUUUAAACGGGUUAACCCUUGGAGAGAAACUGACAUUCUCAGAAAGCCAACUUCUUAGCAUAUGAAGUUGCUUCUCAGUAUGUGACAAGAUAACUUCUUGAUGAAAAGCAGUGCAUAGUUAAGUAACAAAAAUGCAAAGCAAUACAUCCUGAGAUGUAAAAGUAAAAUGGCUAAAUAAUUUCAUUUGGAAAUGAAUAGUAUCUGUAUACAUAGUGACAAACUGAACAUUAUCCAAGAGUAAAGAAUGAGAUACAAAAAACACAUACAUGAUGGAUUGUUUUGUGAAGGUUCUCCAUCAGUGUGCUGUAUGCUGUGAGAAAAAGCCAGUUUCCAAGGAGGUACAGAACAUAUAAAAUGAUGGUUUGAGAAACGUUUCCACCAGUACUCUGUGUGAUGUUCAAAACUUGGCUCCCUAACAAGAUGGAAAAAGGAGUUGCAAAGAAUGUGUAGAGAAAGUCCUGCAUCAUUGUGCUGUAAUACUGUACCAUCGUCAUUUCCCGUCAUUCAGCUUGCUUUUGAUCUCAGUUUUGACAAUACGAAUCAAGAACAAACCCGCUAGACAUAUUGCAAGGAUAAGCAUAAAAAAUACACUGUUCCAUCCUCUAGUGGAAAUAUAUCCAGCAAGAAGUGGACCAAGAGCUGCGCCAACAGAACCGGUACCAUCUAUAAUUGCAGUGACAGUAGCUAAUGCACGGGAAUUUCCCUUGAUCAAGCUCUGUGUACCAAGAUCAGCAGCGACAGCUGUUGUGAUAAGCGAGUAUGGACCAUUCACAAGCAACCCCGAAAGAAACAUCAACCCAAUGUUGGUGUACAUAGAUAUACUUCCAUAAACCCGGUAUAAAACAAGGGCUGGAAUAGAUAGUAACAAGAAUAUAAUUGAAGUAACAGCUCGAGCUUCAAUCUUAUCCGAAAUGUACCCUGCCAAAAUUCCUCCUAGAACUCCACCAACAUCAAAUAUAGUAGAAAGAAUCCCAGCAGUUUUGUGCGACAGGUGCACACCAGCAACAGCUUCAAUCCAAAACAAUUUUUAAUGGAUCUCGUUAGUUAGUGAUCAAAAGAGUCUCUUUAAGAAGUUAAACCAGGGGCGUGCUUAACACCCCAUGGAAAUUGAUGGCUCUAUUGUGUUUGUACAUAAAUUUACAGAGGGCCAUAAAAUAAGGCAAUUCAAUCUCCAUAAGACAUUCAAAAGCACUUCUAUACAUAGUUAAUAUUGAAAGAGAAAAAGAUUAAUAUACCCGUGUGCCUUAUGUAGAAGGGCAACCAGUAAAGGAAAGUGUAAGCCACAAGCUUGGAGAAGAAGAGGCAAAACGCAAAAGGCGCCACACCUGGUAACCUCCACGCCUCCAAGAACCCAAUUGCACCCGAAGAAUCUGUAACAUCGGAUGGAAGAAGCCCCGCAUCUUCCGAUUCAACUUUCUCUGAAUUUUCCAUAGAUUUAUUGGAUUCUACUUCCACAUUCAUCUCUAUCUCCUUUGCUAAAAGUUCGAAUCCAAGAUCUUCCGGAUUGACAACAAGAAACAUGAAAACAAAAAUUCCAAUGAUAAUGAUCAAAAUACCAGGCAACACAAACGACCACCCCCACCCGAAUUCCAACACCGCCGAUGACACAACUGACCCAACAAUGUUCCCAACCGAAGUAUGCGAAUUCCAUAAUCCCAUUAUCAACCCUCUCUUCUCUUUCCCAAACCAAUUACCCAGAACAGCCACAACACAAGGCCACCCAAUACUCUGAAACAAUCCACAUACAAUUUGCACCCCCACAAAAAACCCUAAUUUAUGAACAUUCAACCAAUCCCCCAACCCGAAUAUAAUUGUUAAAAUUCCACUACCUAACAUUCCAAUCACAAGGAACAGCCGGAGAUCCAACCGAUCACCGGCGUGACCAGAAAAAUACAUCCCAAUUGAAUAUGAAGAUAGGAAUGCGAGAUCGAGCUCGCCGAGACGGUGGGUGCCGUGAGGUCCAUUAAACGGAGCCCAACCGGUGUCGACUGAAGUGGAGUUGGAUUGAAUUUCGGGACUGAGGACGCUUUUGACUAUGCUGGGCGGUUUGCGGGAGGCGUGAAAGGAGGCGUACGCGACGAAGGUGAUGAGGAGAGCUGAGAUCCGAUGGAAAGUUAGGGUUUUGUGAGGGGGCUUGAGGGUUGGGAAGAGAUUAAGGCCAGGGGCUAGGGCUUGGGUGUUAGAUUGCAUUGUGUUUGGAGCCAAAAUUUGUUAAGAAAGAAAGGCAGUUUAAAACAUUUUUGUGCCCCUUUCCCUCAUUUUCCCGAGAAACAUUCAGGAAUUAUGCAGAAAUUACAGGGAAGAAGAUGAUAAUCUCGAAGCCAAGAAAACAUGCUGUGUUUGAUUUUUUGGAGGGAGAAUGCCAGGUUAGUUGGUUUCCGUUUCGUACACCCUAUGAUAUGGCUUAAAUUGAUUGGAGAACAGAUAGGGCAUGUUGUCUUUUUGAGAAACUCCAUGGAGAUUUUAGUAAUUAUGCUCUACCUAUGUGGAAAAGGUUUUCCUGUCAGCCCUUGCCACGUUGUCACGCGCUAAUGAAGGAGGAGGUCGCUCCAGCCUCCAGUAUGGGCUACAUCACACAGGCACCACUCUUUUCCCUUCGGGUUAAAGCAAACCUUUGAGUUGACUUUUGACCUAACGAAAAAUAAAAAAAUAAAAAAAUGAUAAAUGACUAAGCUAGAAGUGAAUAGGAUGUCCUCUGGCGCAUCCUAGUAUUGAAGUCCUGAACCAUAUGAUGCAUUUUCUUCUAUUAAUAACACUUGAACAGAAAAUGUUCCCUUCAAGUUUGCAAACCUACAUUCAUGUGGUUUCAUAACCUACCUAAUGGGCCUAUAACAUCUUUUACUUUGCCGAGAUAUCACAAAAUCAUUUUUAUUUUUUAACUUUUCAACAUUUACCCUAUAUAAUAUCCUAAUCCAACUUCUUACUCAAAUUAAAUUAAAUUCACUUUUAAAAUUAUAUAUUAAUUUUUUACUUAAAAAUAAAUUAAAUUAUUAAAAUUCCUUAAAUAUAUGUAAAAUCCUAAUUCUAAAAAUUUCAUCCUAAUUUUCAACCACCUAAAUCCAAAGUGAAGUGGAUACCAAUUGGAGACCUUAGAGCCUACGAGAGAAGUGUUUUCCAAACUCAGAAAAUAAUUUUAAUAAUUUUUUUACCUAAAACAAUUUUUUGAAAACCAAUUCUAAAAUAAAAUAUUUUCUUUGAAUUAUUUUCAACUAUUUUUAAAAAAUAAUUAGAUAAACAUAUAAUAUGAUUAAAAAUAAAAUAUUACUAAAAAUAAAAAUCACUUUUUAAAAUAUUGAAAAACACGUUAUGUUUAAAAGCUUUCAAACAAACUUUUAUUUCAAAAAUUAUAAUAAACUGUUUUUGAAAACUAUUUUAUAAGAGCCCGUUUGACAAUGAUUUUUAAAAGUGUUUCUACCCUUAAAAACACUUUUAAGUGUUUUUGGGAUGAAAAUAAAGCGUUUGACAAAUUUUAAAAAACACUUUUAAAAAUCUGAAAAAACACUUGAAGUGAUUUUUAGAGAAUCACUUGACAGGUGUUUUUUUUUAAAAACACUUCAAUUUUUUUGAAAUAUUCCAAAAUACCCCAGUGAUAAAUCAAUUAGAAAAAUCUUUUUUUUUUUUUAGAAAUUAAUAGGUGGUCAUAUAUUGUUUUACUUUUAAAAUUAUCUUUUAUUCAAUGUUUUUUAUUUAUUUAUUGAUUUAGAUGUUUUUUGUAAAUAUUUUUUAAAAUUUUAGUAUAGUGAUAAAAAAAUUAUUAUUUUUAAUUAGAAAAGUCUUUUUUUUUUUUUAGAAAUUAAUAGGUAAUCAUAUAUUGUUUUAAUUUUAAAAUUAUCUUUUAUUCAAUGUUAUUUUUUUAGUGAUUUAGAUGUUUUUUCAUUAAUAAAAAGUUUUUUUUGUUUAUCAUACCAUUUUUUUUAAUUAAAAUUGUAUGUCCUUUUUGGUAAUUUAUUAAUAUUAAAAGUGUUUUUAUAUUUAUACAAUAUAUUAUCAAAAACACUUUAGAAUCAUUUUUUCCGAUUAUCAUAAAAGUGUUUUUCACAGAAAUACUAUAGCAGAAAACACUUCAAAUAAAAACACUUCCACUAGAAUCACUACCAAACGGGCUCUAAAACAUUCUCCAGCAUGCCCUUUAAUACCAUCGGGAGCCAGUAAGCUUGCCCAUUCCACUAAUACAUUGGGCGGCGAACUUGAUAAUCAACACGACUGCCCCAUACUUUUAAGUACACCUCUUGACCUUUUCUAUUCAAUCUGGUUGCCAGGUCAAAAGGAGAAAGAACAGAAAAACACAAGGCCUGUGCCUUGGGAACGACUAAAAAAGCAUUAAAUUUCGUAACAAAAAUCCACCUAAGGCAAUUCCGUUGUUUUUUUAAUCCCCGAAUGGCAAUCAGAUGCACAAGUUUUUUGCAUUUGAAUUGAACUUGUACAGCUAACUAUGAUGAAAAAUGUGAGGAAGAGGACCAAAACAUCUGUAACAAAACCCUGCUUGGUGAUGCAGGAUAUCCAGCGAUCAGAAGAUGAGAUUAAACAGAGGAAUGCACUCCUGUCUCCUGACUUAAAUCAUUUGCUGAUGAAGGUCGGCUGCCUGCUGGGCUAGCUCCACCACCAUAGCCUCGUCGAAGAAUUUAUUGAUGCUUACAUCUUCACUCAUACCCUGCCAAAGAAAAUGGAAAUGCAAAAGAUUGGAUUAUAUAUCGUCUUCAGAUGGGUUCAUUAGAUCAUAUUAUUCUGUGUAACUGAAAUUGUCUGUUUGAAAUUCAUGGUUGUAGAAUGUCUUUCCUUCUGCAUGCUGAUGACUACUGAACUAACUUCAUUUGUCGUAAAACUUAUUGUUUGUGUUUCCUUCCACAAAGGAAAGACAUGAAAGGCAUGCAUUUGGCAACAUGCCAAUCAUCCUUGGCCUUUACUUGGAAAGAAAAAACAUUUGACUAGCAACAUGGUUAAAGAAACAUAUCUUAAAAACACCUUCCAAUGCAUAUUACAGCAAAAACCACACACACAUAAAAAGUGCUAUGAAGCACCUUUUCAGAUUCCAUACCUUUCUACGCCUUGUCUUAACCAUGAACUCACGAGCAAGGUGCUGAAUCGGUGCAGGUUCCAGUGGCCGCAGGACAAUACUCUUAUCAAGAGGGUCCCCUGGAACUAUAGCCCAGUGAUCAAACACAGAGGCGCAAAACGCUUGCCCUUGAGUAUGGUACCUCAAGUCUGUCUCAAACCCAAAUGAUUCUAUCACUGGCAAAAAUGCCUGAAAAUAAAUAAAUAAAGACAUUCAAAAAAUCAAGUUGCAAUUAGAUGAGUUUUCAAGCAUGUAUAUCUAGAAAAAAGACUUGGAACAUAUAAACCAAUAUGACCAACAAUAUCAUGCAUUUUACAUGAGAGAUAAAUUGGCAACACAUGUAACAAGAUGGAAGGAAUAAUCCCAACCAUAUGGGGUCAGCUCCAUUUAAUCCAAUUAAUGCUAUUCUAAUGUAUCUUCGAAAUUUAUAAUGAUAAUCUUGCAUAUUGUAUUAUCAAAUUUCUCAGUCAUAAAAAUUGGACUGGCAAGUCGGCUGGCAGUUCCAAGUGUUACUAAUUGUCCUCAAUCUCAUAGAAAACCAUUAAGAUCAAUCAUGAAAAUUUUCCAAACAUUUCCUUCAAAACUGUAACUAUAAAAGCAAAGUACAGCCAUCAAACCUUAACAAUAUAGGCUGGGGUCCCUGGUUGAGGAACAUCAGCUGUAACAUGCCCACGCCUGCGAGAUAAGACAGUGUAGAUUGCAGAGACACAGUCUAUUGGUGUUUGUAUCUGAAACAGAGAAACCAAAUUAAAUAACACAGUGAUGUCAUCAGCCUGAUAAGGGAAAAACACAUUUAAGUCUAAUAACAGAUUGAAACUAAAUAUUCUUUUUAGGGAUGAUUAAAUAUCAACUUGUUUACUGUCUGGAUCUAUGAUCCCUAUGAUUCUAUAUUCAGAUACACCUUCAAGGAAGAAAGACUUCCUUCUUAACUUUUAUGAGAAAUUUCUAUGAACUAGAAAAUUGCACGUUCUAGUUUUAGCAAUAUCCAGAAAUUUCACUUAAAAAAUGAAGCCUAAUUAACAAAUUUUCUACAUUUUUUGAGGCAACUAUGAAUGGUCUUAGGGGUUGGGUUGCUCAAAAGAUAAGUAAUAUGUUCAGUUCCCAUGCCCAGGCACAGUCCAUUUGCAGUCUUUUUUUUUUCCUUGAAUGAUGAGUGGAAAGAGGGGUCAUUAGCCUGCAUUCUUCCUUCAAUAGCUUAAUAUAGCAAAGUAUUUACCUCCACAUAGUAUACAGGUUCCAUAAGUCGUGGAGUUGCCAUAAGGAAUGCAGAGUAGGCCACCCGCCGAGCUGUAGGAAUGAUCUGACCAGUUCCUCGAUGCAAGGGCUCAGGUGCAAUCCUUGCAUCGACUAUUUUGAACUUAACAUUUCUGAUGGGCUCAUCACACAGGGGUCCUUCUCGGGCACCCCAUUGAAAUCUAUCCAGAACAACACACACCCUUAAUAAAAGGCAAAAACAAUAAUAAAUGAAAAAAGAAACUAAUGACAACAUAGUUUACCCUUGAACAAUGGAAUCUUUGACAGCAUUUAGUAAGUUCUUAUCAACUUCACUAGAGAGAGUAUCAUCUAACAAAAUGUUAGGCCCCUGCAAGCAGCUCAUUGGUCAGACAGAAACAUGGCAAUCAUACACAUAAGAGCUAGAUUGGAAAAAGAUUUGCAAGAAGUUAGGAAUAUAUCAAAGGAAGCGGAUGGAAUAACAAGCUGAAGUUAAUUUUUUUAAAAAGGGAGGUAUUGAUUAAACAACAGUAGGGUUGUAUCACUGUUAGAAGUUGAAACUUUUGCCAAGUACAUUACCUGCUUAUCUGGCCCAAAUGCCCAUAUGGACCUUGCAGCCAGCAAAUCCCAGUCAUAUUUUGUUUGAAAAAAGUCACCAAGUUUCUUUCGAUGCCAAUCAAUGCUUACAACACCAUUCUCAAUAUCCUCCGCGAGUCCUUUCUCCAAUGGCUCUGCAAUCUAGCAAAGAAAAAAACACAAAAAAAAAGGUUGUUUAAAUAAUUAAUAUACUGCAUAAAAUUGAAUCAUAUAUGAUUCUUGAUAGCCCCAGGAUCAAGGGAAGGGAAAAAAAAGGCAAUAGAUGACUUCCCUACCAUGGUUAUUUUAUUCUUCUUGUUGGGUGUUUCAGCAAAACAUUUCAUUGAUGAAGACUCCACCACAGUUUCACAAAAUGAUACAACAGGAUCUGCCACCUAUAUUUUAAGUAAAGCACAAGAAGCAAAAGCAUGCUCAUCAACAAAAGGCACAUCCCUCCAUCGAAAAGGCAAAAAGGGUACUCACAUGAAAGUUAAGAUCAACCAUAAAUCAAAUAAGAGAUCGAUGUGAAAUAGAUACCUUGACUUCAACUUCAGAAUACAGCUCUCUAAGGUCCUUCAUGAUAGAAUCCAAAUACAACUCCCCAGUACCUAAAAUAGUGUGUUCUCCAGACUCCUCAACUUUAGUAAUUGCUAAAGGAUAGCUCUUACUGAUCUUCCUAAGACCCUCCACCAUUUUGGGCAACUCACUUGGAUUUAAAGGCUCAGUAGCUGUUUUAACUACUGGAAGAGUAUUAAACAGAAGAGGCCGAAAUAUGUAUACAUCCUCAUCAUAAUCCAAAUUACAAAGUGUGGCAGUCUUCAUAAUUGAAGCAUCCACACCUUCAAUGAGAACCCAAGAACCAGGAGGAGCCUUGCUUAUGGGUAUUCUGUAACGAGCUUGAUAAACCCAUAAUUUUGUAACUUCCUUUACUGUCAUAUCCUCUUCGUCUUCUGGUGAAUAGCCUUCUCCCAGCACACGUAAAGUCUGCCCUGUUUGGAUUUCACCACUAUAAACCCUACCAAAAGCAUCAAAAACACUGCAAUCAGACUUUGGAUACAGUUUAGUCACAUUAACCAUUAGAGGACCAGAAGAAUCACAAUCUUCCAUGGCCUGGUAUAUUGCAGAAUCUUUGGGUCCAGUAUAAAUAUGAUCAACCUUCUUAGCUGCAGCAUCUUUGGCAGAAGGAAUAUGCUGAACCAGCAUAUCAGUGAAACCUGUCGCUGAACCAAAGACUGAGCUACAGGCCAACCUCAGCAAAGGCCUAACAUUUAGUUUGUAGGCUGCAUUACUGAGAGUGACACCCAGUUCUGCAAGGGUACUCUCCACACUCUUCUUAUGUUCUCCAAUUACUUGGCUAUAUAUCUUGUAGAGGGGCUCAAGCACAAACUGGACAAAUGAUCUUUCCCCUCCACUUGCAGGCGGUUUCUUCCUGAAAACCCUAGCAUCAGGAUGAUAAUACAUAUCUCCCCAAAGCCGAGAUGCAAACUUAUUGGCAUCAAAUGGGACGCCAUGGAGUUUGACAUAUAGUUUAGCAAAUGAUUGCAAAGUAAAAGACCAUCCUGCACUAGCACUAGCAAAACAGACAUUUCCAGCAGCCGGGUCUAUGAUUUGGACAUUUCCUGCAGUUGAUGAGGCAGCAGAUAUGUGAUUAUUGAUGAGUUCCAGAGUAUGCCUUAGCUUAUGAUAAGCAUCCUUUGGGGGCAAUUUGAGUUCAGUGAUCAGCCUGUCAACCUUGAAAAAAUAAGAGAUUAAAAUAAAUUAAUAAAAGAGAAUACAAGGAAGUCUAUGAAGUGCUCUGCUUCGUAGAGUUGAUUAAAAUGGUACAAAGAAGUUUUGACCACCAAAACAAAGGGUUAAAAGGUACCUUAUUGAUUACAACUACAAUAGGAAGGCGCUCUUGGAUUGCAUGGCGUAUAGCCCUUUCUGUAUUUACCUGUGCACAAAAGAAUUAUCGAACAUUUCAUGUCAUUACAAUCUCUCUCAAAGCAACUGCCAAAGCCAUUAAUUCAGGAAAAGGACAGAAAUGAGCAUAUUGGAUAAUCAAUAUGAACGGGUUGAACAUAAUUCUUCUUUAAUGAGAAAGUUUACCUGCUUCCUAUUAGUAAUUUGGUUCUAACUAUUCUCUCACUAAGGUAAUCUAAGCCAGGCCCUUUUAAUAUUAACUAGGUCGAUUAAACCUUGAUUUCCACAACUGGAUACAUUCAUCACUUGGGUACAGACAUCUAUACUUAUUCAACAUGGUAUUAAUCAUAUAUCUCUAUUUUGACUUAGUUAUGGAGUUUGCAUCUCUCUCUAUCUUUAACUUCAAAUUGUCUUUCUUCAACAUUCCUUUAUUUUCAGAACUUACUUUUUUUCUUUUUUUUCUUUUUUUUUCCAGGUGAUAGGCCAUAGCUUACUUUCAGUUAUCACCCUCAUUAAUAUUAAGCUUGUUCCACUAAGUCUGAUAAAAACAGGGAGAAGCAAAAACAACUAUCUUAAUUACAUGCAUCCUCCAACAGCAGGCAGAAACACUCAAAGUUGGGGUCAAAUAAUUAAACCUGCAUAUAUCUCUUAACUUUUAUUCCACUACUCGACCUAUAAAUUAUCAAAGCUAAAGUUCUAAUAGACUUGACACUUUUGGAAUUCCCCAAUCAAAAAAACAAAACAAUAAUUUCUUAGUUCUGAUGGGGAAUAAUUAAUAUGGAAGGGCUUUAAAGAAGAAGAGGUAUUUGGGUAAUACAUGAGUAAAGAUAGGCAGUAUGAACCUAAAACUAGGUUGAAAAGCUUUGUAGGUAAGAAACCAAUCAUAGAAGCUUACAGCAGAAGUUCAGAUUGAGUCAUAUCUAUUUUGCACUGAUUAUAGAUAAGUUAGUUGAGCAUUUAUGUGUUGGUGACAUCUACAAUACUAUGUUAAAGGAAGAGGUGUCCAAUCUACACAUCCACAAUUAGUGACCUGGCAUAAAUUCCACCUCCAAUUAAAAGAUAUGGAUAUAAUGAUUUUAUAGGAAGUACAGGUGAAACACUGGAAUCCAUUAUUACUAGGGUAGAGUGGAAGGAGGGAUGAACUCACAAGACCGCCACUCAUAAAAUUUUCACAAGAGCACAACGUAAGGAAUGUGCUCAGUUGUACAUUCCAAUUGACAAGACUAGGAAAAAUACUAAUGAAAAGUUAUAACCAUGUAAGGAAGCUUUAAAAUAAAAUAAAAAAAGCUGUGAGAAAAUAACUAAUGUGGAAAAUGUAAUAAAAUUACAAAAAUAAGUGCUUUUUUGGAUACACUUCAUGUUUUAUUGUUUUUAAACAAAGAAAAUAGUAGUUUCUAUCCCUUUUACGCAUCCCUAAAUCUGUUACAAAAAGGAUUGAGAAAAUCCAAAGAGAUUUCCUUUGGGGGGGAGGAAGUUUGGAGAGGAAAGCUCACUUAAUUAAGUGGAAGGUGGUUUGUAGCCCUAAGGAGGAGGGAGGAUUAGGCAUCCGAAAAAUAGAUGUAUUGAACAAAGCCUUGCUGGGCAAAUGGGUGUGGAGAUACGCCUAUGAGAAGGAGAAUCUAUGGAAAAGGGUGAUAGGGGUGAAAUAUGGUCAAGAGGGGUGUGGGUGGAGGACUAAGGACGUUUGUGGGCCUUAUGGAGUGGGACUGUGGAAGGAGAUCAUGAAGGAAGCUGAUUGGUGCUGGGAGAGUAUUGUGUUUAAGGUAGGCAAGGGGACCAGAAUUUUGUUUUGGAUGGAUAAGUGGUGCGGUAAUGAGGCCCUUUCUCAAAUUUUCCCUCAGCUGUUUACUUUGGCGGGUCAUAGGAAUGCCAAAGUAAGUGAAGUGUGGGACUCUAGCCUGGGUCAAGGAGGUUGGAAUCUCAGAUUGGCUAGAGAUUUCAAUGAUUGGGAGCUGGAACAGAUAGGAAAUAUGCUGAAUCUGCUGAAGGAUUUCAGGACUUCGACUGAGGAGGAUGCUGUAAGAUGGAAAAGGGAAAGCAAUGGUGUUUUCGGGGCUAAGGGUGCUUACAAAAUGUUGGUUGGGUCCUCAGCCUGUGUCUUCCCGAACAGACGCAUUUGGAUGAAUAAGGUGCCAACAAAAGUAUCUUUUCUUGCUUAGGAAGCUUCGUGGGGGAAGAUCCUCACCUUGGAUAAGCUUCAAAGAAGGGGGCGGCAGCUCCCUAACCGGUGUUUUCUGUGUGGAUGUGAAGAGGAAAAUGCGAAUCAUAUUAUGUUACAUUGUACAGUGGUUAAGACUCUUUGGGAGAUCGCUCUCGCCAUUUUUGGAGUCCAAUGGGUGUUCCCAGAAUCAGUUAUAGAAGUGUUACUUAGUUAGAGGGGUUCUUUUGUGGGGAAAAAAAGAAAAGACACCUGGAAUUCCAUUUCGUUGUGCAUUUUUUGGACGGUUUGGAAGGAAAGGAAUAGGUUAGCUUUUAGGGGGGGGUCUUUAGAUAUACAAAAAUUCAAGAAUUUUUUUGUAUGUAAUUUGUGGAGUUGGGCUAGGGUGUAUAUUGGUGAGGAUACCUAUUCUCUUUUAGGCUUUUUGGAGUGGCUUGCGGUCACUUGAGGGUGGGUGAGGUUUUCCCUCUUUUUUGUUCAGUUCGUCUUUUUGGGCAUUUGUGUAUACCCCCUGUAUACAUGCGGCUUUUUAGCCUUUUCUAAUAUAUUCUGACUGUUUAUCUAUAAAAAAAAAAAACAAAGAAAAUAGUAGUAAUUUUCAUGUAAAAUAUAACAACUCUUAUAUGAAAAGUAUAAACCUACCUCAUGUCUUUAAAAAUUACUUUGUAAAUUAGAGGUAGGUUUAUACCUCAAAGCGUAAAAUCCAAAAUCUUUUUAAGGCAAGUCUCAAAGAGUUCUUGCAUUUUAGACAGAAGUUACCAUUGUUUUCCUUUUGAAAAAAUAAAAAACAAGAAGUGCAUCCAAAAGACACCUAAAUAAUCUGAUGUUAGAUUGACGUCUACAAGAAAUCCAGGAGCAACUAUUUGCAUUAUUUUCUUUUCAUACAUGCACAGUGAUUGAUGAAUCAAAGAGAACAUUCCUUGAAGAACUAAUGCUAUAUGAAUGAACAAGAGAGUUAUGACACAACUAUGAAUACAUCCUGUGUACUUGGAUUGCACCUUUUUUUUGCUAGGCCCCUUCUAAUAAAUCAUUUUUCUAUCAAAAAGAACUACAAUCAUAAAAUCCUCAAAUUUCAAAUUUCUAAAUGUUGCAGCAUGUCAGCCUAAAAAGCACGAGAAUAAGAUGAAUUGAGUACAAAAACUAGAAGGAAUAGAUAUUAAGUCAUUUCCAGCAGAAAUGGGGGCAAAAUAAAGGCCAAUGAUUAAACUAAUUAUGAUUGAAAUGGUUAAAGUAGCAAGUACUAUGAACAGAGGGAAGGUCCAAGGAACGUAAAUCUUAAGAUAGUGCAAAAGAACCUAGUGGCCUACCAUUCUUCAAGAAAAAAUGCACACAAGUCACAACGUAUAAAGAUUAAGAUUCUGAUGGUUGAUGACGUAUGGUUGAGAUUUGAUACCAGAAUAAGAUGCAUACAUAACAUGCCUCAAGCUCAAAACUUUUCAGUGGGUAUGAGGGGUUGCUCAGUGUUUCAUGCGGCACUUUGUUAUUGGGCAAUUUUCUGUGUGUUUGCACGAGUGCCAUCAUGUGUUUGGCUUCCUCAGAAUUUAAAAAAAAAAAAUAGCAUACCUGAAAAGAAACAACAGAAGCAGCCAAAGAAAAGGGUCACUUACCAUUACUCCUUCAGCAGCAUCCACAAUCAAGACAGCACCAUCGGCAAGUCUGAGAGCAGCAGUCAUCUCAUCAGAGAAAUUUACAUGACCUGGAGUGUCCAUGAUGUUACAAAGAUAAGAUUUUGAAUUGCUAUCCUCAAGAACAAGUGACAUGGGAACAGCCUUAAUUGAUAUCCUUCUCUCUUGCUCAUCAAUCCUCGUAUCUGUGUAUCUCAUGUGCUUCUCACUAUUUGAAUCAAAUGUUGAAAUAUGGUGUGUUUGCUCAACCAGCAUGUCCAUGAAUAGUGUCUUUCCAUGCUGUAAAUGUCCGACCAGAGCAACAUUCCGAACCAAAGCUGGGUUUGACAUAAGACCCAAAAGAAACUGGGUUGACACAUAUGUCGACGAAUCCUUCACUCCCAACUCAAACUUAAUAUUCCUAACAGGUUUGAUUAUUGGUUGUUCAAGUGGUUGCUCAUCUUCAUCCAUUACCAAGGUUUCAACAUCUUCACCAUAGACUUCUUCAGCAGUAGGAUAGUACUUUUUGUCUUCAGCAAGGACAAUCUGGUUGUCCAUGUCAACAUCAUUAGAUGCAGUUAUCCACCCAUUAGAGGCUGCAACUGCAUCCUCAACAUCAGAUACCAUUUCCUCUUCAUCAGGCUUGUCAGGGAUGUCCUCAUCUUGAUCAUCUCCAUCACUUUCUCUGUCAGACUCAAUUUCUGGUCCAAUGUAGUUUCCAAAUUCAUCAUAUAAACUGUCAUCCAUGGUUCUUUCAAAUCUGCCACAUUGUAUAACCAAUUAUUAGUAUGGAACAGCAACCACCCAAUCAAGAAAGAGUUGUUUAGGGCAAUGUUCGGUUCACAAUCAUCAAUGGUCUUUGCCCACUUAAGACCAAAUGUUCUCUUAGAGCCUAGGCACGACAGGGAAGCCCAUGGCAUGGGCUCGAGUGAAAUGAUGCAACAUUAAUUAAUGUAAUUUUAUAAAAUUUAAUACGCUAAUACUUGUUGCAUACCAUAAAAAAAUAAGAAAAAAAUAUUCUCAAGAAAUUCAGGGAAAAGAACAUUUCAGUAAUUUCAUGAAGAGUUUCAUUGAAUAGUCUCAGUAAUUUCAGUUUUUAAAAAAUGUAUAAGAAAAAAGGCCAAAGUUUCCAAAGAGUGCACAUGUGAGCUAAAAACAGCCAAGUGUCCAGAAAAUGCAAAAUCAUCUAAGAAAACUUAAGUGAGAAAAAUUAUAAAUAUGUCAUAAUGCAAAUUGUACCAAAAUUUUAAAAGAAAAAUUUUCCAAAAUAUCAGGAAAAAAAAUCUCAAAAAGACAUUUCAGGAAAAAUUAAAAGAGAAAACGAAGAAGUAGAGCGACAAGUGUGUGCAGUGUGACGAAGUAAGAAACAAUGAAACAGAGAGCGUGUCGGAGCGAGUGGUGCAGUUGGGACUUGAAAGUUGUUGGUAUCUUCUCCUCCCCCAAGGAGGAGCAGAAGAGACUUGCAGGAAGAUUAGGAUUAGGGUUACUUUUUACAGAGAAGAGAGAAGAAAUUAAAGAAAUGUCGGGGUUUGGAUCUUUCACCUUUUCUCAAUUUGACCCAAAAACGAAAAAUGAAAUGGGUUUUUGAUUUGGUGAAUCCUGCAUCUGGGUUUCUUUUCUGAUCAAUUUUCCAGUCAUAUUCAAGAUGGCAAACAAUUCAAGGGUUUUAACCUAAAUACUACAAACCAUCAAACAGCUGAUACUAGAAUCAAAAGAAUAACCCGUUUUUGGAUUUUUUUUGCGCAGAAAUUGAAUUAAAAUUACCUAAUCCUUACAGACACGUAUACAUCCAGAGAAAGAGAUAUAGAGAGUACCUGAAGAGGGAGUUACAGGAAGUGAAUCCAACUGAGUGUUCAAGAGUAUUGAAACGAGAGGGUUUAUAGAGGGGUUGGCCACGGCGCGGCUGUCAAGAGGAAUUGGGCCUACACCUGGCUAGAUAAAGCUCGAGCCAUGUAGGUUGGACUGAGUUUGAGCCCAAUGGGCUCGAGUAUGUUGGCCUCCGGUGGCUUACUCUCUGUUUGGAAACUAUUUGGCACUGUACCUUGAAAACAAUGUUCUGUCGAACUUAUGACAAAAAAAUUAAAAAAUAAUAUUUAUUUAUUGAAUACAAAUGUUUAUAAAAUUGAUGGUAUUAAAAUGCUGUAGCAAAAAUAUAAUUGUUGGAAAAAAAACCACAUAUGAAGCAAUUGUCAAAGAAUCAUUUAAGUAAUUACUCAAAUCUACUUCAAAUGAUUAUUUAUAUUUUUAAAAUCAAAUUUAAAAACAUUGUUAUAAAAAACAACUUUUAAACAUUAGGAAAUGUAUAUAGUAUUUACGAAACCAUUCUCAAAUAAACUUCAAUUACCUAUUAAUAUUAACUAUUAUAAUUUUAGAUUAUUUAUUUGAUUUCAUCGAUACCACAAAAUCAUAUUUGAAAAGUCGCAGUAUGUUUCUCAAUUGCCAUUUAAUGGAAAAAGGUUUUGAAUUAUCUUAUAAAAUGCCUAAAAUCUACAUUGGUUGUUCACGGAUGAAUUCUUUUUUCAAGUAGCGAAUGAAAUUACAAAAAAUUGAGAACCAUUAUAUUUUUAUGAUACAAAUGUCUUAACCUUAAGAAAAACAGAGAAAAAAUAAAUAGAUAUAAUUCAAGAGAAAAAACUUUUUUUAAAGAACUCUAUUCAUUUGACUUUUGUCAUAUAAAGAGUGUGUGAGAAAGAUUUUUUUUUUAUUUUAUUUUUUUGUAAUUGUAUAAUAGCAUUUUUGUGUAAUUUUAAUUUCCAUAAAUUGUUUCAUGUUUCUUAUUUUGUUGGAUCGAGUCGAAUCAGUCCACAUGAGCACCCAAACCCAACUCCAACACCAUUAAACCCAUUUUUACAAUCAAUGAAGAUAAAAAAUUAAAUUAAAAAUAAUGAUUGGUAAAAUUAAAAAUUUUGAUAAUGAAAAUGUAUAAUAUAUAAAAUUUAAAAAAUGUUAACUUAUAGAAAAAUUAAACUCAUAGUAAGCUAAUAAAAUAAGAGUAUAUUCAUGUUCUUAAAUCACCUAUAAGAAGUGUAUUUAAUCUUCAACCACAAGUCAGCAAGACUUUAAUAUUACUUCUUUUUUUUUAUCACGUUUUGAAAAAAUAGAAAUAUAGUAAUGAUUACUCCAUGCUAUCAAUUACUAUACAUACAUAUAAUUAUUUACUUAAUUUGGAUUGGAGUUGCUUUAUUUUCCCCCAUACCUAACAUAGAUCACAAAAAGGCCUGCCUUAACCCUUCCAAGAUUGGAUUAAAUUCAGUUAAACCUGUUCAAAUUACAUCCUUAAUUGAUUUAGAGUAUUAUUGACAACGAUUUUAAGAAAUGUUUAUGGUAUUUAUAAUUUUUAAAAGAUAAAAUUUUUUAAGUAUUAAAAAUAUAAAAAUACUUUUUAAAAUUAAUGUUAAAUGCAUUCUUAAAAUUUGUUUAAAAAUGUUAGACAAUUUGUCUAAAAAGUAUUUAAGAAAAAUGCUUUUUAUUAAAAACAUUUUGAGUAGAAAUGAAAAUUUUUGUUAUGGAGUACAUUUACCCGAUCAUCAUCAAUUGUUGAGCAAAAAAUUUAAUGACUUGCUCAUGUCAUAAAAUACGGUAGUCAUGAAAAUAUUAAUAAAUUAUUUAGUUGAAAACAUUAAUUUAAUGAUUUGAAAUGUUACAUGAAUUAUUUAACAGGGACAUACCACCUACAAUCAUAUUAAAAAUCAUGAGAAAUAUUUGAUAAGUAAUUUGUCUAAAAACACUUUAAGAAAAACACUUUUUAUUAAAAACAUUUUGAGUAGACAUAAGGUGAAAAUUCCUUUUAUGGAUUACAUUUACCCAAUCAUCAUCAAUUGUUGAGCAAAAAAUUUAAUGAUUUGCUCAUGUCAUAAAAUACGAUGGUCAUGAAAAUAUUAAUAAAUUAUUUAGUUGAAAACAUUAAUUUAAUGAUUUGAAAUGUUACAUGAAUUAUUUAACAGGGACAUACCACCUACAACCAUAUUAAAAAUCACGAGAAAUAUUUGAUAAGUAAUUUGUAUAAAAACACUUUAAGAAAAACACUUUUUAUUAAAAACAUUUUAAGUAGAAAUAAGGUGAAAAUUCCUUUUAUGGAUUACAUUUACCCAAUCAUCAUCAAUUGUUGAGCAAAUAAUUUAAUGAUUUGAAAUGUUACAUGAAUUAUUUAAAAAGGACAUACCACCUACAACCACAUUAUAAAGUUUGGAAAAGAAUGUCCAUCCAUUGAACAAUGGAAGAAAGUGUGCCACCAUAGAAAACAUUAAUAAGCUCAGUCAUGAAAAUAUUAAUAAAUUAUUUAGUUGAAAAGUCCAUUCUUCCUUGUGUACGCUCAAAGGUCUUAGGUUUGAUGAGUUAAAUUUUAUUUUAUAUCUUAGAAUAAGAAGUUAAAUUGAAAAACCGAGAAUGAGAGAGAAGAGGAAGCCACAAACAUGGCGGUCGCUUCUCACAUUUAUUGUAACACACUUCACACACAUACACACGGAUGAAAGUCCUAGGCCACCACGUGUCACAAAUCACAGAGUCUGAGGGCAUUAUUUAGUAUUUAGUAUUUACUACAACACAACCCAGAAAGCAAAAAAGAGAAUUACAAACACAACCCUCUCAUUCAGCUGCUGGCCGUCACGUCCCUCCAUUCACAUUAUGACUUGUAGGCACGAGUCUCAAGGGUGGGUGGUUAGCGACUUACCAGGGGCGUUGGGGAGGGCCAGGAGGACCGGGAGGACCAUAAGGCCCCGGAGGCGGAGGGCCAAAGGUACCUGGCGGACCCGGGGGUGGCGGACCAGGGGGUGGCGGACCAGGGGGUGGCGGACCCGGGGGUGGAGGUCCCGGGGGCGGCGGCCCGUGGUGGUGUGGGUCGUGUGGUGGAUGAUGCAUCUUCUCUUCUUCUUCAAGGAAGCUGUGGUGUGGCGAAGGGGUUGGAGGGGGCUUCUCAAUUUAUAAUGUAGGGGAUGUGUGAGAAGUGGGAAAUGAGAUGAAAGGCAGCUUAAUUCAUCCUAUGUUUAUCUUUUUUAUCUACAAGUCAAACUUUGAUUUCUUUGAUUUUUUAUUAUUUUUUAGACGGUGUCACCUACUAUUCUAGAAGGCAAAGGGAAAUUGACAUCCAAAUUUUAUUUUCAUUUUAUUUUUUUGCCUCACGGCUCGGGCAUCUAUAAUUAUUUAUUUAUCAAUGUAGAAAAUCCUUGUGGGGAUAAAAGACACGUGAGUUCUGAUGGGGCGGGCCUCCAUCCCCGCAAUUCAAUCUCGCAUUCGCAUUCAUGUAUUAGGGUUUUGGACCACAAUAAUUAAUUAAAAAAAAUCAUAUUUAUAAUGACCUGUAAAAUAAUUCUCAAUUUAAUCCUUUUUUUUACAUGAAUUGUCACGUUCAUAAUUUUUAUUUUUAUUUUUGAGGUGCUUUCCAAUUUUUUAAUUUAAAAAUGACCUCGUUGAACACGUGGUCAGUAUGAAUUAAAUUAUAUAUUUUUAAAAUUCAAAUUAUAUUUAUAAUUAUUCCAAUCUUAUUAUGUAGAUAUUAUCCCAUUUGAAUCAAAAGUGGACAAUAUUUACACAAUUGUAUAUUGAGGAUUUGAUUGAUUCAUGAAGAGUAUUUGUUUACUUGACUUUAUAAUUUUUAAGAAAUGACAAAAACAUUAUGUUUGCAUGUGAUGUUCGUAAUAUUUCACAUAGGAUUGAGAAGGAAGUUAUUAAUUCUAUAUAAAUAUGAAAUUUUCUUAAUCAUGUAAAUGUGUUAUAAAGUUACAAGAAUCCUGUCAUCCUUAAAGAGGAUAAUGCUUACAAAUGUUUCAAAAUUAAUUUUGACUUUGUAGGGAGUGUUUAUCUUUUUGUGAAAAAGGAAAAUUAAAACUCUUUUUUAAAAUAAUUUUAUGAUAUUAAAAAUUAGAAAUUUGAAAAAUAAAAAAUAAUGUUUUGAGAACUUUUGAUGAAAUUAGGAUAUUUGAAUUAUUUUUCUUGUUUUAAUGAGAUUAUUUUUAAAAAUAAUUAUAUAAAUAUAAAGAAUAAUUUAAAAUAAAUUAUUGUAAAUAAAAACUAUUUUUAAAAAUAUAAAAAGAAUAUUUUAAGUGUUCAAACAAAAAUUUGUUUGGUAAACAUCAAAAUUUUGUUUGAAAAGUGUUUUUGAGUUCUAUUCUGAAAAUAGUCUUUAAAAACUAUUUUAUAAUCUUUCUAAAACAAAAGUUUCUGUUUUGACAGCUUGAAAGUUUGAAACACGGAAUUGCAGGCUUAUGCCCUACACGAGCAGGGGAACCUUCUGGAACUCGUGGACCCAAUUCUCGGUUCUAACUACUCUGAAUUUGGAUUUCUUAUGCACCAGCCCAUCUCCCACUCUCAGGCCAAAUUCCGCGUCUUCUGUAGUGAGCACGCUCCAAGGCAAAAUCGCUGUCCAAGCACCAAUAGCCAAGAGGAGCUCAAUGAACCAGGACAUGAGGUUCAAAGCCUUUGAGAGGCUGUCACAGGACAUAUCAUAUUAUGCUUUAUUUUCUUCUUUCAAUUUUUCCUCUGCUUUCUCUGCUACCAAACAAUGGCUUAUAUCAUUCUGCUGGAAAUUCUUUGUCCCUCUAUGCCAUAGCGAACUUGAUCUGAACCCAUAAUGUUUAUGGCCGAGUUGGAAUUCUGGGUAUUUAUUUUUUUCCUUUCUUUAAUUGGUUUGAAACCGGCACUGAAGCCGUAUUUUCAAAUUUUGACUGUUACAUAGGUUUUAAAGCCGCAUUUCCAAGAUGAGUUUUCUCAAUUAUGUAAGGGUUUGUUUGGAAAGUAUUUUUUAGAAUAGUUUCCUGUUUUUCAGAACGAAAAAACAAAGAAAAUGUGUUUGACAACCAUAAACUAUGUUAUGUUUUUUAUUUUUAAGAAUUAAAAAUAUAGUGUUUUAAAAAAACAUUUUUAAUUAUUUUAUAUUAUUUUCAUUUAAUUUUUUAGGGUUAUUUUAAAAAAUAAUCAUACAAAUAUGUCAAAUAUAUAGAAUAAUUAAAAAUAAAACAUUAGAUAUAAAAACAUAUUUAAAAAUAUUAAAAAUAGGUUAAAAUCAUUUUAAGUUUCACAUAGACUUAUGUUCUAUAAGAAUCAUAGAACAAUUUUUUAAAAAUAUUCAUAAAAACUAUUCUUCAAAAUUAUUUUGAAAAAUAGUUACCAAAUAGACUUUUGUCCUAGAUAUGAAAAAUCAUAUAGUUUUUUAUAAAUUGUUUUUAAUUUUUUAUUAUAUUUAUUAUUGUUAUUUUUAAAAAUAAAUUAGUUUAAAAAAUUAAGUUUCCUUAAAUACAAUAUUUACAUUUAUGAUGUAAAUUGAAAUCGAUAUUCAAAAUUUCAUAUAUUAAUUUUCCUUUUGCAAUGAUGUAAUUUCUUCUUAUUUAUUGAAUUUAUAAUUUUAUCAUCUAAUUAUAUAAAUAUAUAAAUUGAGAUCUCAUAUUACUAUGAUUCUAAGUCAUGUGAUGAAAAUAUUUUAUUUAGUUGCUUUAAUUUUAGAAAACUAUCCAUUCUUUCUAUUAAUUAUUAAAUAUUAAUUUCAAAAUUUUAUUUUUAGUAUUUAGUAAAAAACAAAAUAUUUUGACUUUUUCUAUUCAUUCAGAUAAAAAGUUAUAAAAAUAAGUAAUAAAUAAUAAGUUAAAAACAAACAAUUUAAUGUUUGAAAGCAAAUUACAUUCCAAUUAAGUUAAAAAACAAAUACCACUUCGAUAUUUGGUAAAAUUUAAUCCUUAUUAUUUAAUGACUUAAGUCAAAUUAUUCUUAAUAUGUUAACUUAAAAUUUGUUACUUACUUUUUUUUUUAAUCAUUAAAAUUGUUCGAUGAAAUUAACUUCAAAUUUAUUUUUAUUCCUCAAAUUAAUAUAAUUACUUUUGUUAAUUAUAAUUAAUAUUAAUCUUCAUUCAAUUAACUAAUUUAUUUUCAUUAAUUUUAAGCAAGACAUUUCUUUAUAAAACAUUUAUAUUUAAAGUAUUGAUAAAUAAGAUAACCAUAAAAGAUUUAUUAUAAAAAAUGAAUCAUAAAUUUGGAAUUAUAAUUUUAAAAUAUAUUCUCAUUAACAUAUGCAAAUGAAAAAAAAAAAGAUUUUGAGAUUAAGAAUAAGUUAAAUAUUUUGACUUAGUACUUAAAAGUUAUAAUAUUAAAUUAUUUUACCAAAUAUGAUUAAUCUACUUAAUGACUUAAAUUAAGUUGUCAAGUCAUUAAGUAAUUUAUCAAACACCUUGUUGACUUUAAACUUAUUGUUUAUUUUUUAUUUUAAAGUAUUAAGGUUGGUUGGUGAAAUUAACUUAAAAUUUAUCCUAUAUCGUCAAACAUAUUUACCCUUAUUAAUUUUAACUAAUAUUUAUAUUUUCAUUCAUAUUAAGAUAUAAACUUAUUCAUUAAAAAAAUCAUAUUUGAAGUAUUUUACAUAUAUAAAAUAACUACAAAAUAUUUACAUUCAAAAGAUGAGUUUCAAAUAUAGAGUUAUACUUGUAAAAUAUGGAAAAAUGAGAUAAAAAAGAUUUAAGAUUAAGAAUAAAUUACUUAUUUUAACUUACACUUUCUUCUUCUUCUUCUUUUUUUUUUUUUUGAAAUUUAAGUAGUAAUAUUAAGUUAUUUUCCAAAAUAUAUUUAAUUUACUUAAUGACUUAAAUUAAUUUAUUAAGUCAUAUUAAGUCAUUAAGUUCAUUUAUUAAACACCCUCUUAAAAUAUAUUUAUUUAUUUAUACUUAAAUCUAAAUAGAACUUAAUUUUAAAUACAACUUAAUAAUAUCAAAUAUUAAAUUAUUUAUUUUUUAUUAAUUUAUUUUUAUUAAGUAAUAAGUAUUAAUAAGGUGAGGGUCAUGCUAAAAUUGUGUUUUAAUUGUUUUGAAAAGUUAUUUUUAACGUUCAACAAAAAGUCAAAAUAUUUUGAUUUUUUCUAUUCGAUCAUUUUUAAAAAAAUAAGUAAUAAGUUAAAAAAAAAAUCUAAAGUCUAAAUGCAAAUUGCAUUAGACAUUAAGUUAAAAAAGCAAAUACCACCUUGAGCUUGGAACUUAUUAUCAAACUCAAAUAGUUAAUUUCUAAUGCUUUUUGGUUUGCAUGCCCAAUUUUAAGUUAGGCAUUUUAUAUUUUUCUUAACAAAAAAAAUUAUUUUCUAAAUUAAAUUGAAUGACAUUGGCCUUAAACAAUUUAGUUAGUUAUUGUCUAUGAAUCUAAUUGGACUGAACAACAUGAUUUUCAUUUGAGAUUUGGUCAGUAUGAUUCUCAGUGCAUAUAAACCAAUUACAUUAAUUUGAUUAGAUUUUAGUUUUCAAUGUGAAAUAGUUAUCAUUUGUAGUGAAUUUGAGGAAAUAGUAAUUAUUUGUAGUCAGGGAUAUUAGUUAAUGUUCAAAAUGAGAGACUAAUUUGUGGUCUUAGAAAAUGAGAAUAAUUUUUGUCAAGUUUUUAUUUAUUUAUUUAUUUGGAUAACCCAAAUGCCAAAAAUAUAUGUUCAUUUCAAUAUUUAAUAACAAUAAAAAUAAAAUUAGAAAAUAAACGCAUUUUUAUUAUGGUUACAUUUUACAUUUUACUAAACUUUUGCCCAUUUUAUUACUAGCCAAAAUAAAAUAAAAUGUAUUGAAAAUUAUUAUUAUUAUUAUUUGUGGUUUUCUCAAUAAUAAAAUAGAACCUAAUAACUUUGUUAUUAAUAGAAUUAAAAUUUAAAAUACUAAAAAAUUAAAGAGGGAAUGAAGAAUGCGAGAAAUGAUAUGAACAAUGUAAGGAUUAUCAUAUUUUUCAUACAAUUUCUCACAUUCUUUGUAAUUUUAUAAUUUUUUUUUCAGUUAAAAAUAUAAUAAUAUUGUUUAUCCAUAUUAAUUAAGCUUGGAAAUGAUGAAAAUUAUCAUUAAUAAAACAUUAAAUAAUUGUAACUAAAUAAUUGUAGAUGGUAGAAUAAGAAGAAUGUGAGGAAUGAUACAUGAGGAAUCCUUACAUUUUAAUUGGAGAGGGUACGAUCACAUACGAAGAAUGUUAUAAAAAAGUAUGAACAAUAUGAAAAUUCUUCACAUUUUUUUUGUCAUUCCCACAUUCUUGGUACCGUCCAAAAUUUUCUAUUUUUUUAUUUUAAGAAUUUUUUUUCCACUUCCCAAAAAUACUUUCUAUAUUUAAUCCAGUCUUCUCCAUAAAAAAAAUUACAAUUAAUAAUACAAUUUUUAAUUAAUAAUUGAUUGAUCAUAAUUCUAAUUUAAUAAUAAAUACUCAUUUUAAGUUAAUUAUAAAUGAUUUUUUCACGAGGUCUUAGUGUUUAAAAUUUAUAUCAUAAAAGGAUACAAUACUUCUUUGAAGACAUGGAUGCAAAACAAGAAGAGGAUAAGAAGGUAAGCAAUCGGAUUGCGGAAACAAGAGAAGUCGCCUACAAUGCUGAGGAUGCUAUUGAAAAUUAUAAUCUCCGUGAUUUUGCUAGUAAAUGGACCCUGAAAAGAAAAUUGACUUGGUUCUGAUUCCUCUAUUUUUUUAAGAAUACCGAGUCGGGUUCUUCUCCUACCCGUAUUGAAUAGAACAUGCUGAGGCAAAUCUUCUUCACUGCUUGCUUUAGAUCGGGAAAAUCGUAUCGAAUGUUGGAUCUGAGAUUGAGAGUAUUCAAAAAAAAAUAUCUCUGACCUUACAAGAAGUUUAGAAACCUAUGGCAUUAAAGCUGUGAAAGUCUGUGAAAGCUUGACUCGGGCCGUGAAUGUCAACAGACGUAAUCUUAUUCUCAUGUUAACAAAGAGGAUGUUGUUGGGUUGGAUGGUGAAUGAUGAAAGUUGUCUGGUUAUUUCUAGUUGCGGUAUGGGUGGUUUGAGGACACGAGUGUUACGAAUUACUUCCAAGGUUUUUCUUGGGCAUAUAUAUAUCCUGACGAUGCCGCGAAAUCAUGUUUGAAAAGUGGCAACAUGUUUCUUGAUAUUAAACCUAAUUUUGCAGUUCAAACAUAUCCAAAUUACAUCCUAAAUUGAUUUGAGUAUCUUUGAUAAUAAUUUUAAACACUAAGAAGGUUAUAGGGGUUUUAAUAUUUGAAAUAUAAAAAUUUUUAAAUGUUAGAAAAGUUAGAAAUAUUUUUUUAAAAUCAUUGUUAAAUGUCCUAUUUAAAAAAAACAUUUAUAAUCCAAAAAGUGUUUUAAAGAAAAACAAGGUAUUUAGUAAAAAUAUUUAAGAAAUAUUUAAAAAAAUUUUAAAAAUCAAUUAUAGUGUUGAAAAAACAUUUAUAAUAUUUUUUAGAUAAAGAUAUGUAAUUAUCCUUAAAACAUUAAGGUUAUGUUUGGUUCCCGGAAAAUACUAAGGAAAGAAAAAAAAUGCAAAGGAAAAUAAUUUUUUUAUGUUUGGUUGUCCUAUGAAAAAUAUCAAAGAAAAUCAAAUAUGAUUAAAACUAAUUAAAAACUUAUGUAUUUUUAAAUUAUUUAAUCUUUAUAUUGAUGAGUUAAAAUAAAUAAAAUGAGUUUAAAGUAACAAAAAAAAUAAUUUAUCAACUUUUAAUCUAUUUUUUUAUUUUCCUUCACUUUUUCUUUUCCUCUGCUUUUCCUUUGUAUUUUCUUUCCCUUGCAUUUUCCUUCAAAGUUUUUGGGAACCAAACAUAGCCUAAAGAGAAAAUAUUUCUGCUAAAAACACUUCAAAUGUACUCGAAUGAUCAUCAAUUGUUUAGCAAAUAAUUUCAUGAUUUUGAAAUGUUACAUGAAUUAUUUGACAAGGACAUAGCACCUACAACUGCAUUAAAAAGCUUGAAAAAUAAGGUCCCUCCAUUUAACAAUGGAAGAAAAUGUGAAAUCAUAUAUCAAAUUAAUAAGCUCAUGUCAUAAAACACAGGUAGUCAUGAAAAUUUUAAUAAAUUAUUUAGUUGAAAAGUCAAAUCUUCUUUGUGUACACUCAAAGGUCUUGCGUUCCAUGAUUCAAAUUUUAUUUAUUUUUAUCUUAAAAUAAGAAGUUGAAGUUAAAAUAAUUUAGGUCAUUGAUUAAUCUUCAAACAAUUAAUAAUAUUUGUCAUUUAAGUUUUUAGUAAAUGAUGUUUUUAAUUAAUAUUGUUAUAAUGGAUUUAUAUAAUCUUCAUAAUUGAAUUUAUUUAUUAAUUAAAUAAGAUUUCUUUGGAUCUCUCUUGUAAUACCAAAUAUGGAAAUAACUAAUAUUGAGAGUUUUGGAUCAGUGAUUGAUGUGAUACUUAUGUGAUUCGAAGCUAUAUUAAACAUAAAUUUUAAAAAACGACUUAAAAAUUAUAUUUUUAUAUUCCAAUGGCUCUCAAGAGACACGUGACAUGUUUUUUGCACAUAAUUAUUUCAAUUUAUCAUAUCUUUUUUUUUUAACUUGAAAUUAUGAUCCGUUUGAAACAUUAGAUUCAUGACUUCUUGAGUAUCAAAAUCAUAUGUAAUUUGGUGUGAUAAGAGGGUUUAUGGUUGGACAUUUGAAUCCAAACUUCCAAUAUUGAUCUCUUAUAGGAUAUUUUGCUUAUAAUUUUUCUUUAAAAACGACACAAAGAAAAACUGCAAAUGAGAGAGGAGAAAGCCAUAAACAUGGCUUGUCACAUUUAUUGCAACACAUUGCACACACGUACACACGGAUAAGAGUCCUGGGCCACCACGUGUCACCAAAUCAGAGACUCUGAGGGCAUUAUUUACUACAACAUAAACAAGAAAGCAAAAAACAUAGAAUUACAAACACACCCCUCUCUUCCAGCUGCUGGCCGUCACCUCCAUUCACAUGAUGACUUGUAGGCACGAGUCCCAAGGGUAGGUAGUUAGCGACUUAGCAGUGGCGGUGGUGGGGAGGGCCGUGCGGACCGGGAUGACAAUGAGGUCCCGGAGGAGGAGGGCAGUGGUGAGGAGGGCCGUGGUGAGGAGGGCCGUGGUGAGGAGGGCCAUGGUGAGGAGGGCCGUGGUGAGGAGGGCCGUGGUGAGGAGGGGGGCACAGCUGAGGGGGCGGCGGACCGUGGUGGUGGGGAGGUGGUGGACCAUGGUGCGGAGGGCAAUGGGGCGGGGGCGGAUGUCCGUGGUGGUGGUGGUGGUCGUGGUGCGGGUCGUGUGGUGGAUGAUGCAUCUUCUCUUCUUCUUCGAGGAAGUUGUGUUGUGGCGAAGGGUUGAAGGGAGCUUCUCAAUUUAUAGAAGCAAAGCUAACUUUCAUACUAUGUCUAGUCUUUUUUUAACUGCGAGUCAAACCUUCAUUUUUUUAUUUUUUAGACGGUGUCACCUACUAUAAUUAUUUAUUUAUUAAUGUAGAAAAUCCGCGUGAGGAUAAAAGCCAUGUGAGUUCUGAUGGGGCAUUGUCAGGGCCCCUGCAAGUCUCCGUCACCUCCGCAAUUCAAUCUCGCAUUCACAUUGAUGUAUUAGGGUUUUGGCCCACAAUAAUUAAUAAAAAAAAUCAUAUUAAUACUGACAUGUAAAAUGAUUCUCAAUUUAAUCCUUCUUUAUACAUGAAUUGUCGCCACCAUAAACCUUUUUUUUCCGAAGCUUCUUUUCUAUUGAUGUAUUAGGGUUUUGGCCCACAAUAAUUAAUAAAAAAAAUCAUAUUAAUACUGACCUGUAAAAUGAUUCUCAAUUUAAUCCUUCUUUAUACAUGAAUUGUCGCCACCAUAAACCUUUUUUUUCGAAGCUUCUUUUCUAUUGAUGUAUUAGGGUUUUGGCCCACAAUAAUUAAUAAAAAAAAUCAUAUUAAUACUGACCUGUAAAAUGAUUCUCAAUUUAAUCCUCCUUUAUACAUGAAUUGUCGCCGCCAUAAACUUUUUUUUUUUUAAGCUUCUUUUCUAUUUUUCUAAUUAAUAAUUACCUAACCAUGUGGCCAAUCUAGAUUAAAUUAUACAUUUUUUAAAAUCAAAUAAUAUUUGUAACAUUUGGCGUACAAUCCUAUAAAUAUUAUCUCAUUUAGAUUUAAAAUUGACAAUAUUUAUACAGUUGGAUGCAAGUUGUUAUUAAGAGUUUAUUUAGCUCCAUGAGGGAUAUUUGUCUAUUUGACAUAUAAUCUCAUUUAAAAGAUGUUUGUAAUAUACUAUAUUGGAUGUGAAAGAAAAUUAUUUACACAAUAUAAAUAUGAACUCCUUUAAAUCACUUAGACAUAUUUUGAAGUCAUAAGAACCCCUUUAAGCUCAAGAUGAACAUUAUUUAUACGAUUAAGUGCGAAUUAUUACAAAUUAUAUUAAAGUCAGUCCAAUAAUCCUCAAUUUCAAUGUAGGGGGUUUGUUUGGAACUCUUUUUAAAAAUAAAUUUAUGAUAUUAAAAAGUAGAAAAUUGAAAAAUAAAAAAUAAUGUUUGGAGAACUUUGGAUGAAAUUAGGAUGUUUGAAUUCUUUUUCUUGUUUUAAUUUAUUUUUAAAAAUAAUUAUAUAAAUAAAGAAUAAUUUAAAACAAAGUACAGUAAAUAAAAACUAUUUUCAAAAAAUAAGAAAACCAUGCUGAGAAUAUCGUAAGUUUUGAAAUAAAUUUGUCUUUAAAAACUAUUUUAUAAUCUUUGUAAAACAAAAGUUUUUUUUGACUACUUGAAACGUAGAUUGCAAGCUUAUGUCCUACGCGAGGAGGGAAACCUUCUAGAACUCGUGGACCCAAUUCUCGGUUCUAACUACUCAGAAGAAGAGGCAGCAAGGCUGCUGAAUUUUGCUCUCUUAUGCACCGGUCCAUCUCCCACUCUCAGGCCAAUAUCCGUGUCUUCUGUGUUGUCCAAGGCAAAAUCGCUGUCCAAGCACCAAUAGUCAAGAAGUGCUCAAUGAACCAGGACAUGAGGUUCAAAGCCUUUGAGAGGCUGUCACAGGACAGCCUAUCUCAUGUCUCGGCAUUCUCCCAAGAAAGCCAGGUGCAAGGCAGCAUAUCAAUGAACGGGCCAUGGAGCUGCAUAGAAAACUUGGAUUCUCUAUGGCAUAAAUUUCCUGGGAAUUCAUCCUUAAACUCACUUGCAUUUAUAAAAUAAUAAUUUAAUGAUAAAAAAACGGAGUUCAACUUUUCAAAGCUUUUCCUCUUACAUCCCCUCCCCCUUCUCCUCUUAAAUGCUCGAAUUUAUUCAAUUAAGAGCUCUUUGAUAGUAAUUAUGAAAAAUAUUUUUAAUAUUUUCAAUACUUAAAUUUUUUUAUCAUUUAAGCGUUAAAAGUUCAACUUUUCAAAGCUUUUCCUCUUACACCCACACCCCCACAUUCCCCUCUUAAACGCUCCAACUCAUUCAAUUAAGAGUCCAUUUGAUAGUGAUUAUGGAAAACAUUUUUAAUAUUUUCAAUGCUUAAAAUUUUUUAUUAUUUAAGUAUUAAAAAUACUAAAAACAUUUUUUAAAAUAACUUCCAAACACCCUCUUAGUAUAAAGCAAACUAGUCAAUCAAGAGUUGCUAUUGACAAAAAAUUUUAAAAAUAAGUAAUGAGCAAUAAGUUGAAAACAAACAAUCUAAUGUUUGAAAACAAAUAAUAUUCAAAUUAAGUUAAAAAAAAAAAAAGCAAAUACCAUUGUGAUGUUUGAUAAAAUUUAAUACUUAUUAUUUAAUGGUUUAAGUCAAAUCAUUCUUAAGAUAUUAACUUAAAAUUUAUUAUUUACUUUUUAUUUUAAUCAUUAAGAUUGUUUGACAGAAUUAACUUAAAAUUUAUUUUUAAUCGUCAAAUUAAUAUAUUUACCUUUGUUAAUUUUAAUUAAAAUUAAUCUUCAUUCAUUUUAACUUAUUUAUUUUCAUUAAUUUUAAGCAAUAAAUUUCUUUAUAAAACAUCUAUAUUUAAGGUAUCAUAGAUACAUAAAAUAACCAUAACAUAUUUAUUAUAAGAAAUAAAUCAUGGAUGUGGAAUCAUAAUUUUAAAAUAUAUUCUUAUUGGCAUGAGCAAAAAAAAAAAAAAAAAAAUAAAUUAACUAUUUUAACUUAAUCCUUAAAGUUAAACAUGAUUAACUUUAAGUUGUAAUAUUAAAUUGUUUUAUCAAACAUGAUUAAUUUGUUUAAUGACUUAAAUUAAGUUGUUAAGUUGAUUUACCAAACAUCCUCUAGUUAUUGACUUUAAACUUAUUGCUUAAUUUUUAUUUUAAAAUAUUAAGGUUGUAUGAUGAAAUUCAUUUAAAGUUUAUUCUAUAUCAUCAAAUUAGCAUAUUUACCCUUGUUAAUUUUAACUAAUAUUUAUAUUUUCAUUAAUGUUAAGAAAUCAAUUUAUUCAUUAAAAAUUAAUAUUUAAAGUAUUGUACAUAUAUAAAAUAACUACAAAAAUAUUUACCCUCCAAAGAUGAGUUGCAAAUAUAGAGUUAUAGUUAUAAAAUAUAUUUUACUAAAUAUGGGGAAUAUGAGAUAAAAGAGAUUUAAGAUUAAUAAUAAAUUGAUUAUUUUAAUUUAAUACUUAAUUUUAAAAAAUUUAAGUAGUAAUAUUAAGUUAUUUUACCAAAUAUGUUUAAUUUACUUAAUGACUUAAAUUGAUUAUUUAAGUCAUAUUAAAUCAUUAAAUUAAUUUUUUAAAUACCCCUUAAAGAGGUAUUUAUUUAUUUUUACUUAAAUAUAAAUAUAACUUAAUUUUAGAUACAACUUAAUAGUAUUAAAUAUUAAAUUAUUUAUUUUUUAUUAUUUUAUUUCUAUUAAGUAUUAAAUAUUAAUAAGGCGAGGGUCAUAUUAAAAUCAUGUUUUAAUUGUUUCAAAAAGUUAUUUUUAAUAUUAAGGAAAAAGUCAAAAUAUUUUGGAUUUUUCUAUUUAGUCAAUUUUUUUUUAAAAAAUAAGUAAUAAGUAAAAAAAAAAAUUAAAAACAAAUCAUUUAAAGUCUAGAUGCAAAUUGCAUUCAACAUUAAGUUAAAAAAAAAAAACGAAUACCACCUCGAACUCUUAUUAUCAAACUCAAAUAGUUAAUUUUUAAUGCUUUUUGGUUUGCAUGCCCAAUUUUAAGUUAGGCAUUUUAUAUUUUUCUUAACAAAAAAAAAAUGAUUUUCUAAAUUAAAUUGAAUGGCAUUGACCUAAACCAAUUUAGUUAGUUAUUGUCUAUGAAUCUAAUUGGACUAAACAACUUGAAUUUCAUUUGAGAUUUGGUCAGUAUGAUUCUCAGUGCAUCUAAACCAAUUACAUUAAUUUGAUUAGAUUUAGUUUUCAAUGUGAAAUAGUUAUCAUUUGUAUUCAAUUUGAAUUUAUUAGUUAAUGUUCAAAAUGAGAGAUUAAUUUGUGGUCUUAGAAAAUGAGAGUAGUUUUUGUCAAGUUUUAUUUUUAUAUUUGGAUAACCCAAAUGCCAAAAAUAUAUGUUCAUUUCAAUGUUUAAUAACAAUAAAAAUAAAAUUAGAAAAUAAACAUAUUUUUUAUUAUGGUUACAUUUUACAUGAACUUCUUUAUUUAUUUAUUUAUUUUAUAGCCAAAAGUUACAUUUAACUCAUAAAAACAUGAUACAUUUUAAUAUUUACAUUGAAAUUAAAAGUGGAGGAAAAAAUCUUAAAGUAUUUUUUAUAUUUUUUAUUUUAAUUAUUAUUAUUAUUUAAGAUGUCAAUAGUCUUAAUUUUAUUGUUAAAAAAUUAUUUUUACAAAAGUUUCUCAAACAUAUUUGUUAAGCAAGAAAGAAAACUUUUCUUGUUUAUAAAAUAAAAUAGAAAAUUGUUAGAAAAGAGUAAAGACAAUUUCCUUUAUGUUUGGUUAGAACGGAUGAGGCAAAAAGGAGCAAAUAAGAAGGGUAAAACCGUCAGAACAAAUUGGUUAUUUCUAUUUGCGGUAUGGGUGGUUUGGGGAAGACCACUUUGCCCAGAAGGUUUAGCAUGACACCAGUGCAACGAAUUACUUCCAAGGUUUUUCUUGGGCAUAUAUAUAUAUAUAUAUAUAUAUCCCGACAAUGUCAAGCAAAAGAUGUCCAAGUAAUUUUAUUUGAUCUCCUCCGUCCAAACAAAAGUAAAGAGGAAGAGAUGUUACAAAUGUGAUAGACUGAACUUGUUAGGAGAGUGUACGAAGUCCAAAUAAGAUAAAGAUAUUUAAUCAUUCUCAAUGAUGUUUGGACUAAAAAUGCUUGGAAAAGCCUAAGACUUGCAUUCUUAUUGAAACAAGGAGGUUCCAAAAUACUGCUCACUACACGGAAUAAAAAUGUAGCCAUGCAUGCAGAUAUAAAAGGCUUUAUUUAAGAAACUGUGUAGCCAUGUAUGCAAAUACAAAAGACUUCAUUUAUGAACCUCAGUGCUUGACUCUUGAAAUGAGUUUGGAGCUGCUCAAGAAAGCAAUAUUUCUAAGAGGCAGUCCAGGUAUGUAUCUUGAGUCACUCCGCUCUCUAUAUAAAUUGAGCUAUAUUCCAUUAUUAAUUUUUUUGUGACAUAAGGCUUCCAUUGAAUUUCAAUUGUUUAGACAAUUAAUAUCAGCUAGUUUGUUCUUUCUUUGAUUUUCAGAUUUUACACGGGAAAGUCUAAGGAAGCAAAUUGUGACGGACUUAGGUUUCUCCUAAACUCACAUGCAAUAUUUAAACAAUUCAAUACAUUUGAUGUUGUUAAGUCGGUCUUCUCGUUGUACUUAACUUUUUAGGCUAAGUUAGGCACACGACUUGAAAUUUAAGAAAACCAAAGGCAACACUUAAACUAAAGGAAACUUGUAUUACACAAAUGAAUGCUUACAAUGACUAGAUGCUCUCACUUGUUUGGUGUCUUGAUCAAAUGAGACUCACCUAUUUAUUGACACUUUAAGAACUUAAAAUCUUGAAGGGUUCCUUACAAAUCAAGAAUUCUUUAGAACAUCCUACACAAGUCCUAUGCAUAAGUAUUUACAAAAAAUCUUUGAAACUCUCCAGCUCCAUACUCUUCUCUUGUCUUCUAGCUUAGUGUAGAGAUGCGUGAAUAUAUAUAUAUAUAUAUAUAUAUAUAUAUAUAUAUAUAUAUAUAUAUAUAUAUAUAUAUAUAUAUAGAAAGAUUCCUUAUUUUUCAAUCCGAGCCACCUAAGCUUCAACUAGAUGCUUUAUGUAAAAUUAUUUGUAUAUGCACUACAUCAAUGUAAAAGGUUGGAUCUCAUAUAAAUUUUCCUGUCUUAUAGUUUUAAUUUGAUAAAAUUAAAAUGGUAAUAAAACUUCAAUUAAACUAAAUCUGUGGACAAAUACUUUACAAUAAAAUUAUUUAAUAAUAACUAUUAAGUACACAAGUGUAUUAAAAUUAAAAGGAAAACUAGUUAUGAUACGAAGAAGAGAUUAAAAAACAGUUAAUGAUUUAUUGUCGAUGGUCCACCAUUGACAAUCAGCAACAAGUGGAAACGGCCCUGUACUUUUCAGGGUACUAUGAUACUAAUAUGAAACUUGAAAUGAAAAAUAAUAAUGAUGAUGAUAAAAAAAUUAUAAUUUUUGUUGAGAUAUAAGGAAUGUUGAGAUAUUAUGAUAUUAGUUGUUCUUUCCUUAUAUCAUUCUUUCAUUGUAUUAUUCUUUCCCAUUCUUAGACUGGUGAUUAUCCUCUAUAUAUACUCUGUAGAUGAACGAAUGAAAUAAUCAAUGAAAAACUACCAUUCAUCAAUUUGAAGAUGGUAUCAGAGCCAUGAAGCUGAAAUCCUGGAUAUUUUGUCAGUAAGGCCAACCAUCGCCCCUCCUUCGCGAUAAAAAAAAUAAAAAAAAAAUGAAUGAAAAAAAUACUAUUGUUUUUCAAUCUGAAGGUACUUUUAAUCCAUGAAUUAUUUUAACUGAAUCAAACUAUGAUAUUUAGUCACAACUCGUGGAGAUGCAUAUUGUCGAAUGGGAAAAACUUUCCUACAUUCGAGGUAAGACAAAUCCACCAAAAGAGUCAGAAGAUGGAUAUGAAAAAUGGUAUGCUGAAAAUCAAAAGGUGAAAAGAUGGUUGUUAAUGUCCAUGAGUCCAGAAAUUAUGAAACGUUACUUAAGCUUACUGUAGACCCCUAUUUGGGUGCUAUUUCAUGCAGCUCAUUCUGGCCACAUGUCACUCCCGGAUUAGUCAAUAUGGGAUCACUAUAGUGGAAUUGAUGGACUAAUCAGGGGAAGACACCUGUAAAGGGAAAGAAUCUUCUAGAAGGGAAAAAGGUUUUCUGUUAUGGGAAGGUGGCAGAGCAGCUGCAGGGGGAAGAGCAUUUUUGGCUGCAGGGUGAUGGUUACUGGCAGAGAGCUGCAGGAGGGCAGGUGCUUUUGGGGACGUGUUGGAGGAGGCCGUUAGGGAUUUUUUUUGGAGAGUUUAGAGAGACAUUCUUGAGGGGCAAGCUGGAUAUGCAGAGAGGGGAGAGAAAAACGAAAGGAAAAAUCAGAAGAGAGAGGUACUUGGGCUGCUGAAAGGAUUGCCAAGGGAGUCCAGAGGGAGUUUCCAUUAGAGAGGGAGUUGAGAGCUGUUAUUGAGAUAACAGAGGAGGGUUUUUGACCAAGGGUAGAGGAAGCUUAAGUUGCAAAGGAGUGAUAGCAGAGAGCUUUGGGAAAAGAAGUGGUUCCUGGAGCUGCAGAGGAGG
rnacentral:lncRNA from 1 species